rnacentral:lncRNA from 1 species
GUAAGGUUUAUAGAGGACGCUUAGCUGAUGGAACUCUGGUUGCUGUAAAAAGACUUACAGAGGAGAGAACCCAAGACGGGGAACUACAGUUUCAAACAGAAGUUGAAAUGAUUAGAAUGGCUGUCCACCACCGCAAUCUGCUUUGUCUCCAUGGUUUUUGCAUGACACCAACAGAAAGGCUGCUUGUAUAUCCUUAUAUGGCUAAUGGAAGUGUGGCAUCUUGUUUAAGAGGUACUCAUCUAAAUUGUUUGCUGCGUUGAUGAAUCUUUUUGUUUUCACGACGUUAAAUUUUUUUUCGAUCACAUUGAUAUAAUGAAUUUAAAAACCUGACCAAUUUGGCUUGGAGUAUCAACACUAAUUUUUUUAAUGUUUUGUUUCCUUCAAUUUUAAUUUACCUUCUCGAUGCUGAUUUUAUUUCUGUUUAAUUUGAAAAGGAUGACAAGAAGACCCUUUUUUUGGGUAGGACGGGUGGUAUGAUAUGUGUUAGACCACAUUACCUGUUGCUUGUAAUUUGAAAUUCUCCUCUCAUAAGUAUGUGGAUAUAUUAUUGUAGGUCGUCCGGAAGGACAACCUGCACUUGAUUGGCCAAUAAGACAACGCAUUGCAUUGGGAUCUGCAAGAGGCCUUGCUUAUUUACAUGAUCACUGUGAUCCAAAAAUUAUUCACCGUGAUGUGAAAGCAGCAAACAUAUUGUUGGAUGAGGAAUUCGAAGCAGUUGUUGGAGACUUUGGGUUGGCUAAACUCAUGGACUACAAGGAUACAUAUGUUACCACACAUGUAUGUGGCACAUUUGGUCAUAUGGCACCGGAGCACUUUUCAACUGGAGUGUCUUCCGAGAAAACUGAUGUUUUUGGAUACGGAGUCAUGCUUCUUGAACUCAUCACUGGGCAGAGGGCUUUCAAUCCUCAUCUUGCGAGUGAUGAUGAUGUCAUGUUAGUUGAUUGGGUAUGCAUUUACGUCUUUCUGUUUGUGUAUGUAGCUAGUUCAUUGUUAUAUGCAAGAUUAUUUCCCAACAACAUUUGCAUUUCCUUAGUAAUUAGCUUUUAGAAAAUAAGUUUGGUUUAAUUAGCUUUUGUUAGUUAGAGUUAUGAUUAGCUGUGUAGAUUUGUUUAUCUUUAUUUAUAACAAUCUAAGGUUUAAACUGUCAGAGAUUAAUUAUUGCAUUUCCUUAGUAAUUGUUACUAUUGUUGUUGCUUCUUUUGCCAAUGUAUUGGCAUUUUGUGAUUUCUUGAAGAAUUUGGCAUAUGUUUUGUGUCGAUCGUAAUUUCCUCAUCAUCUCCUUAUUCUCGCUAUCGUGGCCUCUUGCUUUUUCCUAUUCUCUCUAUUGCAUCUUUGUCUUCUCUUUGCAUGAUAUCAAUAUUUGAAUGACGAAACAUUUUUGUAAGCAGUUCGAUUUUCUGUAGAAAACUGCGGUCCUUCAAAUUUUGAACAUUACAACACGUUUUUGUUCUCCUAGGUUCCCGCACCUUUUGUUUCAAAUUGUAGAACCACCCGACAUUUUCUGUUUUAUUUUUCCUAAAAAAAUUAGGUCAAACGACUACUGAAAGAACGGAGGUUGGAAAGACUUGUUGAUGCUGAUCUAAAUGGAAAUUAUAUUGACGAUCAAGUGGAGCAGCUGAUCCAAGUAGCUCUACUGUGCACACAAGGCUCCCCAGGGGAACGGCCCAAGAUGUCAGAGGUUGUCCGAAUGCUUGAAGGCGAAGGCGAAGGUUUGGCUGAAAGAUGGGAGGAGCGGCAAAACGAGGAGGUGAUCUGCCAAGAUUUCAACACUAUUCAUCAUCCAAGUACUUGGAUCAUAGACUCACCCUCUCCUAAUUUUGUGUUGUACUAUUUCUUUGAGUUUGAAGAAAUGGAUAAAAAGAAUGACAUGUGAUAGAGAGUUCAUCAUAUAACUUCUGACUUUAAGGAUUUUUCAUUUAGUUCUGGUUCAUGUUGCGCAAAUAAUAUUAGGUAACACUGCUACUGGGGCUAUUGCUGGAGGGGUUGCUGUUGGUGCUGCUUUAACGUUUGCUGCAACUGCAAAUACACUUGCUUAUUGGCGACGGAGAAAACCACAGGAUCAUUUCUUUGAUGUACCUGGUUAGUGAACUAUAGGAGUAAUAUAGCUUGAUAAAGGUGGUGUUUUAGUAUGGGAUGCAGGUUUCACUAAUCUACUGUCUUUGCAGCUGAGGAGGAUCCAGAAGUUCUUUUAGGACAGCUCAAAAGGUUUUCUUUGCGCAAACUACAAGUUGCAACGGAUAACUUUAGUAACAAAAAUAUUCUUGGUAGAGGUGGAUUUGGUAAGGUUUAUAAAGGACGCUUAGCUGAUGGAACUCUGGUUGCUGUAAAAAGACUUAAAGAGGCGAGAACCCAAGGUGGGGAGCUGCAGUUUCAAACAGAGGUUGAAAUGAUUAGCAUGGCUGUCCACCGCAAUCUGCUUCGUCUGCAUGGUUUUUGCAUGACACCAACAGAAAGGCUGCUUGUAUAUCCUUAUAUGGCUAAUGGAAGUGUGGCAUCAUGUAUAAGAGGUACUCUUCUAAAUUGUUUGCUGCGUUGAUGAAUCUUUUUGUUUACACAUGGGUAAAUUGCAUUUUACACCCUCAGGUUUGAGUGUAAUUGCAACCUCAUACAACAUUUUAAAACAUUUCAAUUUUAUUUAUUUACUUAUCAUUUUUAGCAAUUUCAUACAUCUGAUAGUCAAACCGUCAGUUUGACUGUUAAGGGAUGACAUGGCAAAUGUGAGGUCUACAUUUUGUUGACGGGGAUGCCAACUAUGAUUCACGUGGAAUAAAAACAAAUAAAAAGGAUUAAUAAAUAGAAAAUUAAUUUUUUUUUAAUUUAAAACUAAAAAAAUAGAAAAGAUUAAAAAAAAAAAAUGGUGUUGUUCAUCCCUAUCCUGCUCUCACCCCGUCCCCGCAUUCUUCAUUUCCCCCCGCCCACCAUCGCCACCUUCCCUUUCCUCAGCCACUGCAAUGAAUAGACCACAUUACCUGUUGCUUGUAAUUUGAAAUUCUCCUCUCAUAAGUAUGUGGAUAUAUUAUUGUAGAUCGUCCCGAAGGACAACCUGCACUUGAUUGGCCAAUAAGACAACGCAUUGCAUUGGAAUCUGCCAGAGGCCUUGCUUAUUUACAUGAUCACUGUGAUCCAAAAAUUAUUCACCGUGAUGUGAAAGCAGCAAACAUAUUGUUGGAUGAGGAAUUCAAAGCAGUUGUUGGAGACUUUGGGUUGGCUAAACUCAUGGACUACAGGGAUACACAUGUUACCACAGCUGUACGUGGCACAAUUGGUCAUAUAGCACCAGAGUACCUUUCAACUGGAAAAUGUUCCGAGAAAACUGAUGUUUUUGCAUACGGAGUCAUGCUUCUUGAACUCAUCACUGGGCAGAGGGCUUUUGAACUUGCUCGGCUUGCGACCAAUGAUGAUGUCAUGUUACUUGAUUGGGUAUGCUUAUACGUGUUUCUGUUUCUGUUUGUUGCUAAUUUUCUGUUUUCCUUAAUAUGUUUCAUAUUUUAUUAAAAAAAAAAGACAUAAUGUUGUUGAAAUUCAACGAUCUAUUGUGUCUCUUUGUCCAAAUCUUGGAAAUUAUGUUUCAAUACUCAUUUUUAAAGAAAUGUUAUAUAAUAUAGUGUGAAUUAGGUGUAUCUCUCGAUACCAAUGUUGCUAUUUAUUUAAGCCAAAAAUAAUGGGUCUCGACACCUAAUCACUUUAUUUCAAACCGCUAAUCUCAUAUGACAUUCUUAAUCAUUGUAUAUGGAACAUUUAAAAACCUAUUACUCAUCAUAGAGCUGCCAAGUUCCUCUCUAAUUAAUGUAAAAAUCACUUAGUCUUUUUUGGCCCGAAUAUUGAAAACAAUUAGAAUCAUGGAUCAAAGAAAAGAACUAAUACUUAACUUUUAGAAAAUAAUUUUAGUUUAAUUACCUUUUAUUAGUUAGACUUACGAUUAAACUGUGAAGAUUUAUUUAUCUUUAUUUAUAACAAUCUAAGAUUUAAAUUGUCAGAGAUUAAUUAUUACAUUUCCUUGGUAAUUGUUGUUAGUAUUGUUGUUGCUUCUUUUGCCAAUGUAUUGGCCUUGCGGUGAUUUCUUGAAGAUUUUGGCAUGUGUUUUGUAUCGAUCCUAAUUUCUUCAUUAUCUCUUUAUUCUCGCUAUCUUGGCCUCUUUCUUCUUUCUAUUCUCUGUUUGCAUCCUUGUCAUAUGUUUGCAUCAUAUCAAUAUUUGAAUGACGAUGCAUUUUUGUAAGCAGUUUGAUUUUAUGGAGAUACUGCAGCCCUUCAAAUUUUGAACAUUACAACACAUUUUCACUCUCCUAGGUGCCCUCACCUUUUGUUUCAAAUUGUAGAACUAUCUGAUUUUUUUCCUUUUUAUUUUAACUAAAAUAAUUAGGUCAAAGGACUACUGAAGGAUCAGAGGUUGGAAACAAUUGUUGAUGCUGAUCUACAUGGAAAUUAUGUUGACGAUCAAGUGGAGCAGCUCAUCCAAGUAGCUCUGCUGUGCACACAAGGCACCCCAGGGGAACGACCCAAGAUGUCAGAGGUUGGCCGGAUGCUGAAAGGUGAUGGUUUGGCUGAAAGAUGGGAGGAGUGGCAAAAAAAGGAGGUGUUCCGCCAAUAUUUCAACCCUAUUCAUCAUCCAAGUACUAAUCGGAUCAUAGACUCAACUUCUCAUGGUCCUCUAGAUGAGUUGUCCGGUCCUAGAUGAUAUGCUCGUUGGUUCCGUCCCCUUGUAUACAUGUAAGAAGCCUCAGAGGACUAGAGAAGGUCCAUUUUGUAUUUCAGUGAUACCACAUUUGUGCGAAUGUUUUGUCUUUGUUUUCGAUUUUGUUUUUGUGUCGCUUAUUUUUAAGAUCACAAAAAUGGAGCUGGUGCUGUUGUAAUUUUUAUAGGGUUAACUGGCAUUACGAAGUUAUAUUGUGCUAGCAGGAAUCAGGAAGGUCCAUAAAAGCACCCAUUCCUAAUGAUUUAUGUAUCUUUCCAACAAUUAGUCCAGAUUGUCGAGUAAAUAAUCUUUCUGAACUUAUAACUAUCUAUAUUUUUUAGUGUUCUUAUAGAUCCUAUAGAUACAUCCUAUAGAUACGAUAAGGGCAUUAGGUCAAGUGCAUGGGUGCUUGUGGACGGAUAGUGUUUGAAAUUUCAUUGUGAUCAUUGCAAGUGCAACUUUGUGGCGCUACCCUUAUAAGCACUUGAACUAAGGCAUUAGGGGAUCUAGAGAUCACUUUGUGUCACUCCAACAUGGGAAUUCGAGUUGUCUAUCCUCUUUAGAGAAUCGCCAAUGGAGACCCAAACCUAAAUAUUUGGGUUUAAACAAAAUAAAAAUGGAAUCUAACGGUGGGACUUUUUUUGUUUUUUUGAACAAAAAAUAUUAUCUACAUUAAAGGGGUAGGGGAUUAUGUUAAUCCUUAUAGUGAACAAAAAAUUACUAUUUAAUAUUUUAUAUAUUUAUUCAAAAUUUUAUAUUAUUAUAUCACUAUUUUAAUAUUUUCUUUGUGAUAUAUUUUUAUUUUUUUAUUAAUAUUUUCGGCCUGUGGGGUCCACAAUCACCCAGGCUCUUCUCUCAUUUUCUGCCAUGUGUUUUGUCUCCUCCCUCACUCCACCUCUCCCUCUCUCCCAUAAGACUCAUUUCCUCUCUCCUUCGGUGAAACCCAAUGACGCCGAAACCACCACCACCUUGCCGAUGCGACUCCAGCGGGUUACUCCACUUGAUGACCCAGGCUAGCACCACCUUCGUCAUUUUCUCCCCCUAUGUCGAACCAGCACCACUCACUUUCUUCCCCGAGGCCAUUGUUCACAUUUUUCUUUUUCGACAACAUUCAUGGCGAGUUCUCGUCGUUCAUGACAAAGGUAAGGUUCGAAAACCCUCAACAUCUUCGUAGAUUGUGUUUAUGAGUAUGACGAGGAUGUUCUUAAGAUGUUUUAGUGCUGGUUUGACGUAGAAAUACCCCAAGAGUAACAAACCCAGUGUUCCGGCAGAGAUCUGGCGGCUUUCGAGCCAUUUUUUGGCCAACUCCGGCCAAGACCAAGGAAACCAAAGGUAUAUUCCAAUUCCUUGAUCCGAAUCUGAACUCGGGAUCCGGCCCGAUCUGUUCUAAAUUGUAUAUGAAAUAUUCCAGAAUAUUCCCUGUGUUGACUUUUAAGAAAUUUUCUCAGAAACCCUCAUAGGCUAAUUUUGACGUCCCAAGUCCAUUUUUGACAUCUAUUUAGGAAAAUCAUGAAGUUUUAACAUAGUUGACCACCAAGGCGUCUCGUUGACAUUUUAGGGUUGACCGUUCACAUUUCGUUGACUUUUUACAAAAUUUGCAUUUAACCCCUCUUAGCGUAUUUCGACACUCUGAUUCUAAAUUCGCACUCCGUUUUCUCAAAUUUGAUCGUUUAAGUUGAGUUUUACUAAUGAGUCCUAAUAUUAUACUUUGGUGCGAUUACUAUCGGAGACUCCGACUUUCUUAGCUUGAAAGGAUGUGACAUCGCAGGUACUUGUGAGUGGGUCUUUUCUUUUAUAUAGUGUGUAUAUAUAUAUAUAUAUAUAUAUAUAUAUUUGUUAGUUUCCAUUUAUAUAUUUGGUAAAGAAUUUUCUAAGUUACACCUAUAUUAGGGUAACGUAUAUAAAAAUUAACGUAUUGACAGAAUUCAUGUAAUUAUACUACGUUCUAUGGGAUACACAGGUAUGCGUAUUAGUAUGGAUGCUUUAAUGGUAUUUACGGUUAUGAAUAAUAUUCCAUUGACUAGGGUUAUUGAAUUAUCGCAUUAUCAAUUUACCAUUGCAUGAUCAUAUUUGUGUUAUUUACUCAUCGUGUGCUGCACUGGUGUUAGUACUUGCCCAGGCCAGGGCCAAUCUUUCACGUGUAUGUUCACAUCGCACUGUACGCUUAGUUUGGAUCCAUUGUAGGUGUAAUCCUAUCCUAGAUUGCGAUAGGCAAUUAGGACUCAUAUGUGAGGCACUUAGCGCUAGCCUUCACGUGAUUGUAGUACUAGAGCGUAAAUCAUUGCUUACACCCAGUCAUGUUCAUGUCAGAAUACCUCUGCAUGAACUCGUGUAUCAGCAUAUGUCAAUGAGCACUCGAUGUGAUAUGUUUAUUUCUGCGAGAUAUUGUGAUUACUAUAAGUUAUGUACCUAUUUAUGAAUUUUGUGACGUAUUGAAUUCUUAAGAUUUUGCAGGCUACAGUAAGUAUUUUCAUACUAUACGUAGUAUGUAAAUUUUGGAAACUAUACUUGUUUUACGAUAAGGGGUUAUAAUGUUUUCAAAAAGCUUUUUAUAAAACUUUAUUUUAGGCCCACUCACCCUUGUUUUUCUCCCCUCUAAGAUUUAGUGGCAAUGUUCGUGUCGACAAGGAUUUCUAGCAAACGCUGAUAUCAGAGACUACUUCUGAUGGUAUAAUUCUCAAUCUACUCUAUUGUACUUUACUUAUACUCUGACAUCACAUGUGAACUAGGUUGAUUCCCGCUCACUAACGCACUCUUAUACUUAGGCACUUUUAGAUUUAAAUUUAUUUCCAUUUUCCAAAUCACUAUAUUUUAUGGCUUCGUCACUCUCCUGGUGUCGACCAGCACACCUCGAUUCGGAGCCUAAGUAGGCAUUCCGGGUCAGGGUGUGUCAGUUUGGUAUCAGAGCAUAAGUUUGGUCAGCAUUGCGUUCAUCACACGCGUGCUGUAAGCAUUCUUGGUUCUUGAACCUAAUUGUCGAAUCUUGUCACCUCGUCGAAUACAAAAAAUGUGUUAGCUUUUCUUGAGUUAUGGGUUACUUAGACGACUUAUUGACAUGUUAGAAGAAUACUUUGGCGACCACCUCUAAACUUUAAGCGAAGGAUUUUCCUGCCAAGGAAAUAUGUAGAUUUGAGACAAGUUGAUGGCCCUGAAGCAGGGCUACUAUAUCGAUAGUUGUGCAUCACGAGAGAUUUACCAACCAAAUCCACUACCAUCUGGUCAUUUCUACCAACCCUUUUAAGUUAGAAAACCAUAAACAGUUUUGAUUCCUUGGCAUUACCCGUUAGUAUACCACAUAUCAGAAUUCCUGUGAAGUUUUAGUUUUUGUCAAAAUUUCCAAAAAUGUCCCGAAUGACAAUGUGGUGCUAAAAGGGUAGCAUUCGACAGAAGAACAUCUAGGGGAUAAUCACUUUUGUUCCCUGAUAACACUAAUCUUCUUAAGCGCACUGGUUAUCAUUUCGGAUCCUCAGGAGGAAGAUCGAUUUCCAUUUAGGUUAUUAACAAAUUUCUUUUCCGGUGUGGACCCCACCAUUGACAUUUGGUCAACAGGUCUUGAACCAUUUGAAUUACUAAAAUUAGUAUUACUAGAGACUCAGUGAAGCUUUGCUGACUUGUCUCGGUGAGUGACUUUAAUAUAUGUGAUAUGGUGAUUACCCGAUUCUUUAUAUUACUAUCCUUUGUGGAUAUGACAUGGUUUUAUAAAUGUGUUUUCUGUUAAAAUGUGAUUCUUUUAUAAUUGGCCAUCGAUCUAUUUUUAUUAAAUGUGAUUUGAUUCAUGGAUUGGUAAUAUUUGUGAAAAAGUGAUUCGAAUUGCAUAUUGAAAUGUUUUGUAAAUUGAGGGCUAGUAGAGGACUAUGACCCUGCUUGGUUAAUCCGCAUUGGGGGGUCAUUAGUGGUCCUGCUUGGUUAAUCCGCAUUGAGGGACCAUACUAUAUAUGGAUCGUGCUUGGUUAAUCUGCGUUGGGCGAUCCUUAUGGCCAUUUAUACUUAGGGGUGAUCAUGCUUGAUUAAUCCGCUUGGUUAAUUCGCAUUGGGGGGGGGGUGAUGAGUUCAUAUUAUACUAUAUAUUUCACCCUAUUCUUAGUAUUAAUUUAUUGAUUAUUUUGGUAGAAUUUUGAUACUUUGUUUUAUAUUUUCAACAUAGGAUAUUCAAUUUCCUCUGGAACAAAACUUGACCAAAUGGACGAAAUUUCGAGUGAUUCAAAUUGGAGGACGUUCGUGUGUUGUUUGUGUCAAAAUAUCAGAAAUUUCUACCAAGCGGUUAUUUUCUGGAGAUUAAAUGAAGGAGCAGUGCGCAUUGCUGGAAAGUGACAUUUCUGGGCUUAAACUACAUUUUUGGAGCCCGAGAUGACUUCGGCUGGAGAAGUGUUCAGAAUAGUCCAAACUUUAGAUCCAGCUAUUUUGGGCCAGUUUAGGAUUAUAUUUCCUAUUUUAUUUCUAUUUAUUACGUUUCCUGGUUUUAUUCUAAGACCUUUUAGGGUUUUAUUUUGUAUUAGUAUAAAUAAGGCUUUUUAGCCAUUAGGUUAAGAAAUAGGGGAGAGAACGCACACAUUUUGGCUUUAGAGAGCUUUUGACGAAUCAAGUGUAUUUUCAAGGUGUUUUCUAUCCAUGUUUUUAAUAAUAUUUUAUUUUAUGAUUGUUUGUAAUUAGUUUUGUUUGCUAGGGUGAGGCCACGAGCCUUAGCAAAAAUAUGUAUUUUUUUUUUCAAUUUGCUUAUAAUAUUAUGCAUGCAAGUUUUGAAUUAUUAACCACUGUGCUUUAAACUAUCUAGUUGUCUUGAUGAUUGGCCACCAUUAGGAUAUUUAGAAAAGUAAUUUGAUGCAAUUUUGGUGGAGGGCUGUCCCUGGAAUUGGCGUUGGCUUCUUGUGGUUAAUAUGUGUAACCUCUUAGGAUGGACGACAUGUUUUAAGGGUUAUAUGGUUUUUCAAAAGGUUUUCACAAAACUUAAUGAGUCUUGCAUGUUCACAUUCGAUCUGGACGCCACAGACGGGUUUCAAGUAGGGCAUACUUUAGGAAAACCUAACCUUCAAAAUAUGCAUGGGUAAUUCAUAAGUAAUUGAAAGAACUACGUAGAAUUGUUAAGGUGACAACGGAACCCUAGUGCUCAAAUUUAUUUUCAAAACUAUUUUCUUUUGUUUUUUUUUAUUACUUUGCCAAUUUAUUUAAUUUUUUUUAAUAAAAUUCAUUUUUAAUAUUUUAGGUCAUAAAAUCAACCUCUUCUAAAUUUUGUUUUCAAAUCAUUAAUUAAGAUUUGGUUUUAACAUAAAUUAUUCAUUCAAUCCCUGUGGAGAUCGACCUUACUUGAGCUGCUAUACUAUGACAACCUUGUACUCUUGCAAGUAUUUUUAAAUGUUUUUAUCUCUAAUUUUGCAGGUGGUAAAAAUCCCUACCAGAGGGUCACUAGUGGUCUUGCUUGGUUAAUCCACAUUAGGGGACCAUACUAUAUGUAAAUCGUGCUUGGUUAAUCCACGUUAGGCGAUCCUUAUGGCCAUGUAUGCUUAGGAGUGAUCAUGCUUGGUUAAUCCGCAUUGGAUGAUCACUUCCUAACAGCUGUAGGAGUGACUCUGCUUGGUUAAUCCGCUUUGGGGGGGUCACUGCCUACUUGGUUACUUUCUCAUGGGUGGCUUUGCUUGGUUAAUCUGUUUUGGGAGGCCACUUCGUGUUUGGUUACUUAUGUAGGCUUCUGCCGAACUGCGUCCCUCUAGCCCUAGUUUUUAAUGUACAUAUGAACGAUGGUUUUUGAGAAUCUUGGUGGUUUGAAUGGGAAAAGCCAUUGGAUGUUUGGGUGACUCAUUCGGAGUUGUUAGAGACUUGACUAUGUUUUCAUAUUUACAAACUUAUAUUUGAGGUUUAUAAACUGUGAUUGAUGGUCUUUCUUUUUAUUGAUUAUCACAUACUUGUAUUAUUGUCACUCACCCGAUUUUACAUAUGACAGGCCUGGGUAGAUUAUGAGAAACCGCUUGAUAUUUUGGUUUCAUUGAGUAAUCCGGAACCCGGUGUCGUUGGAUUCCGUUGAGUGAUUCGAAAUCCUUGUUCUCGCUCAUUCCCAUAAGGUUAGUCUAGAACCCUAGAUUUGAGUGAAUGAAAAUUACCCACAAUAGACCUUGUGAAUAUGAAAUAGAUUUACCAUGUUAUUACUGAUAAUCCAAGUAGAAAAUUAUAUAGAGUUCCUUGGUUAAAUUUGUGAAAUGAUAUGUUAUUGCAUUCAUUGAUUAGCAUAUUUAAAUGCUAAGAUCAUGUAUCUUUGAUUCAUGAAUUGAUUGAUUGACGGAAUUGUGGAAUGACUUGGUUAUGGUUGUUAUUAUUUUGAUUAUUUUAGUUGAUCAAUGUGGCUUGAGAAUAAUAUGUGCUUCGUUGGUUAUUUGAUAUGUUACAUGUUGUGGAUGGAAGUAUCGUGCUGAAAACAUAGAAUUUAUAUGAUGGAUGGAAUGAGAAUCUUGAACGGCAUGUUGGUUUGUUUUGUAGCCAUGAACUUGGUAAUGUCAUGCAUGUCAAGUUCUAAUAAUUGAUUACAGAAUGCUAUGUAUUCCUAUUAGAACGCACUGGAAUAAAUGUCUAAAUUAGUGAACGAUGAACUACGAACGGCUUGAUCCCUAAUGAGGGUACGUAGGCAAUCUAACGAGGAGGUUAGAUGCAGCCAUAAAGUAUACGAAAAAUUACUAUGCGAUUCAAUUCUCAAGUUGUGAUUUGCCAUAUCCCGGAGGCGGGGUAUGUUGAGAUACGGGUAUUUGGUGACGUCACAUGUCGAUCCUGAACAUAUGUUGGGAUCGGGGCGUGACAUUUUUGAUCACUUCCAUAGGUAGACAGUAGAAUCAAAGUACGAGUUAAUUUCUUGCUAUUAAAGUGAAUUGAGUAUCGAGAAAACUAUGAAGACCUUUUAGUUCAUGUCGUAGAGUUGGGAAGUAGUAUUGUACGUUUUGAUGACGUAUAUCCAAGUGUCUAUUUCAAAAAUUUACCUGAGAUAUCACCAAAUUGUGAAGUAAGAUACACUAUCAACCUAUUUUCUAAUACGACACCUAUUAUCCUUGCAUCUUAUCGAACGACUCCUUUGACUUGAGAAACUUAGUUACAAAAGCUUAUCGAUUAGGAAUUCACCCAACCAAACACUUUAUCUAGGGAACCCUAAACCUAUCCAAGAAGACAAUAGGUUGAACCUUAAAACUGUAUCUAGAUUUUAGCAACUCUAUCGAGUGACAUUUAACUCCGUUAUACCAUACUUUGAAUUUAUGGUCUAUCCAACCAACCUCUGAGCCCAAGUUUUCUUCCGUAGCUUGUCAAAUUCGUAGUGGUUUUACCGAUGACUUUCUCACCUACCGUAGCAACGGGAGCAAAUUUUCUAAACACUGACAGUCAGCUUUAUACCAAAUUCCUCAAAUAUUACCUUUGUUUUAGAUUUCUUGGGAGACGUGAUCUCAACAGAGACGUUCUUGUCAAUUUCCAAAAAGGUUGCACAUGAAGAAGAUUUCAUAUUCCACAAAUCGUUGUGAAUAAUGCGAUAUCCUUGGCCUUGUUGGUUAUAUCGACAUUUCGUUAGUAACUUUUCAGCAGUGGUGUUUUUCCUUGCAAGUUGACCGAGGAAAAUCAGUUUAACUGAGAUGUGGAAUAUGAUUACAGUUGUGACAACUGAGGUGUUGUCUAUUUCUUACCCUUGUUCGUACACCUUUCGAUAACAUUGAAUGAUUUGGCUGCAUACUGAUAGAAUAUGACGAAGUAUUGCUUAUGUUUCCCAACGGUUGAAACCAUAUAAAGUGAACUAACUUACUAUUGACCUAGAGUCAACAAUUACCAUCUUUCCUUGAAACUGGAUGACACUUCUCUAUGGAGAAUCUUGUCCAAAAUCUGUACCAACCUUAGACUUCUCAAAUACAUCUUCAUUUGUAAUGAGCUAAAUUUCUGACAGUAGUGAUGGACGAACUAAAUCAACGUUUACGAUUACACUAUCGUGUAUUACCCUGGUUGUGUAAACGUAAUUACUGUUCACCGUAGUAAAAGAUGUAUCUACCCUUGAACAUUUUCAACCUGUCCUAUUCCAACUCAUUUGGAAUUCAUGAGUAUUGUUAUGACGUGACUUACGAAUCCUCAAGAAAUCGUUCGAGUGGUUAUAAUCACUUACUGUAUUUGAAUAGAGAUGAGAAAUAUCACCAUAAGUUCCUAGUACGAGGUAUUUUGUACAUGUGGAUAUUAUGAUAAUGUUUCGAUGAUUAUCUAUCAACUUGACAAGUCAGCUCACCUUCUGUUGGUCGAGAAGAACUACAUUUUAGACCACUUAUCAAAAUUUCUCAUUCUUGAACUUAUUAGACUUUUUGACGUUUUGAUCAGCAUCUAAUCUAACUGUGAUUCCCUAUUCACCAUCUUGGGCUGGAAAGCAUUCCAAUCAACCUUAGGUACGUCUUACCCUACAACACUUUGUAUUAUUUCUUAAGCAAAUAGAUUGUUUAGAUGAACCGCUGACAUUGAAGUUUUAGUUAUGACCAUUAACUCCUCAAUCACCUAACAAAUACUUUACUGAACGAAUCUUUACCAUUAGUGAUUGAAUAUUCUGAAAGCUACCGUUGUAGUGAGAUAUUAUGCAUUCAAUCCAGCCAUCUUGUACUCUAGAUUCGAUGAACUUGUUUUGACCCUCAAAUUCUUGAGUGUUCAUUUAGCCUUUUCGGCGUAAUGUUUCACUAAACCCGAGUGGAAAUUCAUAAUGAAUCUACUUGCUGAGGCAUAUGUGAAUUACAGUGUUUGGUUGCAUAGUGUGCAUGACACUACUGUAUCUUAUUAUGAUGCGCAUUUCGCUUCCAAGUUUUGGGAAGCCUUCUUGAAGGCCAUGCGUAUUAAGUUUUGUCACAUACCACAUUUCACCCUCAGACUAACGGUCAGUCUGAAUGAACUAUUCAGACCUUAGAUAACAUAUUUCUUUUGUAUGUUUUAUAGUUUUAACUGGUUAUGUUAGACACCUAUCUUUGCUUAUGUUGCGUACGACGAUAGUUAUUAUUAUGGUUUGGCUAUAGUAUUGUUUAAGCUGUGAUAUAGAGAUUUUACGCACGGAACAUGUUUGACAGACGAGUAUUGCGAACAAGUAUUCGAAUGAUCAGGAUUAAGAUGUAGCAAACUAUGAGAUAUUGACGAUGUCGCCGAAGAGGGUCAUGCGUGAAUGCAAUCAAGGCGUUAAUCAGAUGAUUUAUGUGUAUUUCCCAAUGAGGGGCAAGAUGGUAAUAUUGCACCCUCAUGAAUUAUUUGCUUGGUUAUUGUGACAACACCGUAAUAUUGAUAACUUAUUUAUUGUUUGGACUUGACCCAAAGAUACUACACUUAUUCUCGGAUUACGUGACGCUACAAGUGCAUAGGUGACAUUUUUCUAUGUUCAGUUUUGAUUUCAGUACAACUAUCUUGAUUCUACGUUAUUGUGUAUAUGUAUUUUAAUUUGACGUUAUGUUUAUAUAUAUAUUACCUUAUGUUUUUAUAAAAUAUAAUAUUAUAGUAUUGUGCUGAAGGAGAAGGAAAGUAUGAGUUUGGAGCCAUAAAAUAGGAAUCAUUGCACACCUAUCGCGACAGAAUGACAUUCUCUUUUAUGCAACCGCUCUAGCUUGAAUUCUUCUUUAUAUAUUUUCCUUCUGUCUUGAGUAUUUUAUGUUUAGCAACUUAUUUCAAAUUUUGGGGACAAAAUUUUUUUUAAGGGGUGUAUAUUGUGACAACUCGUCCCUACUUUUAUGAUUUUAUUAAUUUUAAAAGCGUGAAUUGGCAAAAAUGCUCUAGCUUGAAUUCUUCUUUAUAUAUUUUCCUUAUGUCUUGAGUAUUUUAUUUUUAGCAACUUAUUUCAAAUUUUGGGGACAAAAUUUUUUUUUAAGGUGGGUAGAUUGUGACAACCCGUCCCUACUUUUAUGAUUUAAUUAAUUUUAAAAGCGUAAAUUGACGAAAAUGCCCAAGAGGCGAGAUUAUUGACUUUCGUUGAUCGUUGUUUGUGACACGUAUGAGUUAUUACUUUACCGUACCCUUGAAGUACUCGAUGGUAAAAACGCAUAGGCGCAAGCGGAAUCGAAUUUGGAGCAACGAUGAAAAUUUUAUUGAACAAUGAAUCCGAAAAAUACUUUUGUAAAAAUUACUAUUUUAUAUUUUAUAUAUUUAUUCAAAAUUUUAUAUUAUUAUAUCACUAUUUUAAUAUAUUUCUAUGGGAUAUUUUUUAUUAUUUUAUUAAUAUUUUCGGCCCAUGGGGCCCACACUCACCCAAGCUCUCAUCUCAUUUUCUGCCAUGUGUUUUGUCUCCUCCUUCUGUCCUGUAAGACUCCCCUUUUUCUCUCCCUUGGUGAAACCUAGUGACACUGGAACCACCACCACCACCACCACCUUGCCGUUGCGACUCCGGCGAGUUACUCCACUCGAUGACCCAGGUUGGCACCACCUUCGUCGUUUUCUCCCCCCUCCAUGUCGAACGAGCACCACUCAUUUUCUUCCCCAAGGCCACUGUUCACGUUUUUCUUUUCUGACGACAUUCAUAGCAAGUUCUCGCUGUUCAUGACGAAGGUAAGGUUCGAAAACCCUCAAUAUCUUUGAACACCCUCAAUAUCUUCGUAAAUCCCGUCCCUGAUUUUCACUAUUGCAAAUUACGUAUGUGUAUUAAGGAGUUAUUAUAUUAUUUUUGGAAUUUAUAUUAAUUGUAGAGUGUUGAGAUUGUGUAUUCAAAAGAUAUCAAUGUGAAAAAGCUACAAUUAAAAAGUUGCCCUUAAUUAAUUAAGGAGAGGAAAAAAAAGGGAACUUUAACGAAAAGCUCCCGGUACUGUUCAUUUUAACGAAAAACCACAUUUUUACACUAAAAAGUCAAUCCUGGUACUAUUCACUUUACCCUUUAUUUUGUCCUUAUCGUUAAAACUCAAAGUUUUCAAGCCCUUUUCAUUAGUUUUCCUAAAAAAAAAAGAAAAGGAAUUUGGGGAGAGAAAUGAAGGAGGCUUGGCCAACGGGAAGGCGGGAGAGAAAGAAGGCUGCCAAUGAGAAAAAAGGAAAGGAGGAGGAAAGAGGGGAGGGGAGGGACACCAGAUUCCCUGCCCAAUUGUCUUUUCCGACCUGAACGCGUCAUUGCUACCACUUCCGACGGGUUUUCCGUCCAUUUUUUGGCGAUCCACCAUUUUUGAAAUAAUGUUCUUCAAUUACCACCACAAAGACACUCAUCUAGAGGUCAGGAAAAAAGCCCAAGCAAGAUUGGGGGUGUUGGAGUUCGAAUUGAGGACGAAUCAAAUGACACCCAUUUCAAGGGUUCCGGCGGAUCGAGGCAAAAUUGAAGGGUUCCCCGGCAAAAUUGGACCUCGGCCCAGGUAUGAAAAUUUCUCCCCGCACUGAUAUCUACAUGCCUGUAAAGUUUGGUAAUUUUUGGAAAUAGUUGAAUUUUCGGCAAGUCGGGGCUGCCGACCGCCACCCGCGGCGGCGGCCUGCCCAGUGGGCCGACGAUGUCCUUUUAAGUUCAAAUAGAUGCCUUGAUUUCAUAAUUGAUAUCCGUAUGACGUAAUUUGAUUGUUUGGACUUAGUUUCAUUACGAUACCUCAUGUUGAUGCACAAAACCGGAGGUUUUGGGACAAUAUAAAUCCGAUCGUGAAUCUGCAAGUAAUGUAAGUAACACAAGAUGUAUCGUGGUUCACCCCAAUGUUUGGGCUACGUCCACACUGAUUAUUGAAUUUCUUUAAGAUGCUGAAGAGGGAGAAAGAGAGUUUCUCUGUGAGGAUGAGAGCUCUGAGAGGGUGAAGGUACGGCCUAAGAAAUGGCCUCCCUUCAUGAAGAGAGUGAGGGGUCCUUUUAUAGAAUAAGGGCUCCUCACUUAUUACAUAUUUGCCCUUUAUUUAUUACAUAAUUACAUUUGAGUCCCCCGAGUAUUUAUACGAGAUCUAAAAACGGAGGCCCUAAGUAUGGUAUAAACAGUAAUCCCCCAAGUCUUCAGUCAAGAUAGUCUUUUGGCUGGAGACUUGAAAUUCAGUCCAUGUGUGGACCAAAGUAACUAGACAUCGUCUAGGACUGAUACUCGAUAUGAGGCGGUGCUCAAUCUGAAAUGAUGCUCAACUAGAAGUAGCACAUGUUGCGAGGCUGCUUGGCUUGUGGCUUAUGUUGUCUUGGUUGGCUUGGCUUGUGGCAUUGAAGGUAAGGGAGUCCCUUUUAUAGAAUAAGGGCUCGCUCCUCAAUACAUGAAUGAUAGGCUAGAGUUGAUGCUCGCGGCGAGGGCAUUGCUCAGCUGGCGACGAUGCUCUCUAAUGAUGGUGAGGGAGUCUCUUUUAUAGAAUAAGGGCUCGCUCCUCAAUACAUAAGUGAUGAGUUAGGAGUGAUGUUCCCGGCGAGGCGAUUGCUCAGCUGGCGGCGAUGCUCUCUAAUAAAGGUGAGGGAGUCCCUUUUAUAAAAUAAGGGUUCGCUCCUCAGUACAUGAAUAAUGGGUGCUUUCUAAUGAAAGUGAGGGAGUCCCUUUUAUAGAAUAAGGGCUCGCUCAUCAGUACAUAAAUAAUGGGCUAAGUCCCCCAAGUAUUUUUCAUGAGGCCCAGUUGAGGCCCAAUAAAUGGUACAUAAUGUAGUCCCCCAAGUCUUCGGUCAAUAGAGUCUGUUGGUUGGACACUUCAAAUUGAAUCCAAGUAUGGGCUGAAGUGGCGGUUGUUCGGAGGCGGUAUUUGUAUACCCUGCACUGAAGCUUUGUAGGUGAAGCUUUGCAAGUGAAGCUUUGAAGCUAGAGCUCUGUAAAUGAAGCUUUUAAAGCUAGAGCUCUAUAAAUGAAGCUUUUGAAGCUAGAGCUUUGUAAAUGAAACUUCUGAAGCUAGCGCUUUUGUGAAUGAAGCUUUUGAAGCUAGAGCUCUGUAAAUGAAGCUUUUGAAGCUGAUUGACAUGAGUGAUGGUCAUGAAUGUUUAUGUUGAUUGACAUGAGUGAUGCUCAUGGAUGUUGAUGAAUGAUGGUCAUGAAUGUUUAUGUAUGAUUGACAUGAGUGAUGUUCAUGAAUGUUUAUGUAUGAUUGACAUGAGUGAUGCUUAUGUAUAAUUUUGGAGUACUGGAUGUACUUUUGAUCACCUGAUUGGUGAUAAUAGCGGCAGGCUGCCAAAUAAUUUUGGAGUACUGGGCGUACUUUAGAUCACCUGGUUGAUGAUAAUAGCGACAGGUUGCCGAAUAAUUUUGGGAGUACUGGGCGUACUUUAGAUCACCUGGUUGAUGAUAAUAGCGACAGGUUGCCGAAUAAUUUUGGGAGUACUGGGCGUACUUUUGAUCACUUGGUUGGUGAUAAUAGCGGCAGGUGCCGAAUAAAUUUGGAGCCAUAGGGCCUGGCUCUUUUGGGCAUAUGGGCAUUCGCCCUCCACAUGACAUUGCAGCCCACUAUUUUGGGCUUGCCCUUUUUUUUUAAAAUUUUUUUUAUUAUUACCCUCUGAUGGGGUUUAUAUAGAUGUCUCCGAAAGAUAAGAAAAAUAAAUUAUAUCAUUCAAAAAUAAAUCUCACCCUCUGCUCAAUGGGUUAUGCCCAUAAUUCCCUUUUCUGCAUGCCAUCACCACCGCAAUUAUGUCUGCUUCUUUUUAUCUUCUUUUGCUUUCUGCUUUUUACUUUCUGCUUUUCUUUUGCUUUCGGCCUGGUUGGUGCUAAGACCUUGUAGUGGGAUGGCAAACAGCUUGGCAUCAUUAUGUCUGAAUUCCUUUAUCAUCGUGGUGCCGAACCACUUUCCAGUUGUGUGUUUAAAGGAACCUGUUUUACCUUCACUGCUUUUUGACCAUACUUCCUCCAUCUAUACCCAAUUGAAGUAAUGAUUACUCCCCUGGAGCCGAUACUAGACCGGUUGAGUCAUUCUGGGAGGCAGCGGAAUGUUGACGUCUGCAACGUGCGGACCGAAGCCCAAAUGCGACGUCGUUUGGCCUGCCACCAGAAGAAGAAACAAACCGAGCAAAACAUUGAAACUCACCAGAGAGAUCGCCGGAGUCAGAGCUUAAGAGAGUAAACACCCAUGAUCCAUGUGAAGAGAGUGAGAGAGUGAGAGCAUGAGAGAGUAAACUCAUCCAAAUUAGAGUAAACUCACACAACUCCGGCCACAGAGUCGUACUCUUCCAUACCAACAUUUCCAUUUCCAACACUACCCUCCACGUUCUUCUUCACCCUCCCUGCAAUCACACGGCACACCAACAUUGCCCUCUUGUCACCCUCCUUCGUCGCCACCACCGCUUUAUCAUGAGCUCUGCUGCUUGUCGCAGUUGUCAAAAUACCCAGCUCCGUCAACUCCCCAGAGAACUUGUUGAAGCCGUUUUUUAUAAUGAUGCAAACAUUGCAGUGUGGGAUUAAGUUACUUGGAGAGCUUGGUGGCAAAGGUGGUGUAGUGGAAACGGAUGAGCUCGUUGCCGUCAGCGAUGCAGCGGGGGUGUUUCUUGGAGAGCUUGGUGGCUUUUACUUUGAUGGAGUCUCUAUACUCUUUGAAUUUGGUGAUGGUAUCUUGGGUGUUAUGGACUUUAAGGAUGCGGUCGAUUUUGUAGAUUGGGGUUCUUUUUUCAGCCAGCUGGACUGGAAUAUGAUCUCCACUAUGUUCUUGCUAGUAUCAUCAGGACUCCGAGCUUGUAUGGUGUCUCUACCGUCACAAGGAGAAGAUCAACCUCGCUGGUCACGAAGAGAAGAUCAGCCUCCGCUACUCAAGCUCCGACUCCAGCGAUCUCUCUUGUGAGUUUCACUGUUUUGCUCGGUUUGUUUCUUCUUCUGGUGGCGGGCCAAACGACGUCGCAUUUGGGCUUCGGUCCGUAAAUUGUAGACAUUAACAUUCUGCUGCCUCCCAGAAUGACUCAUCUGGUCUAGUAUCGGCUCCAGGGAGUAAUGAUUGCUUCAAAUGGGUAUAGAUAGAGGAAGUAUGGUAAAAAAGCAGUGAAGGUAAAACAGGUUGCUUUAAACACACAGCUGGAAAGUGGUCCGGCACCACGAUGAUAAAGGAAUUCAGACAUAAUGAUGCUAAGCUGUUUGCCAUCCCACUACAAGGUCCCAGCACCUACCAGACUGAAAGCAAAAGAAAAGCAGAAAGCAAAAGAACAUAAAAAGAAGCAGACAUAAUUGCGGUGGUGAUGGCAUGCAAAAAAGGGAAUUAUAGGCAUAACCCAUUGAGCAGAGGGUCGGAUUUAUUUUUGAAUGAUGUAAUUUAUUUUUCUUAUCUUUCGGAGACAUCUGUAUAAACCCCUUCAGAGAGUAAUAAUAAAAAAUUAAAAAAAAAACGGCAAGCCUAAAAUAGUGGGCUGCAAUGUCAUGUGGAGGGUGAAGACCCAUAUGCCCAAAAGAGCCAGGCCCUAUGGCUCCAAAUUUAUUCGGCACCCUGCCGCUAUUAUCACCAACCAAGUGAGCAAAAGUACGCCCAGUACUCCCAAAAUUAUUCGGCAACCUGCCGUUAUUAUCACUAACCAGGUGAUCAAAAGUACAUCCAAUACUCCAAAAUUAUUUGGCAGCUUACCGUUAUUAUCACUAACCAGGUGAUCAAAAGUACGUCCAGUACUCCAACAUUAUACAUGAGCAUCACUCAUGUCAAUCAUACAUAAACAUUCAUGACCAUCAUUCAUCAACAUCCAUGAGCAUCACUCAUGUCAAUCAACAUAAACAUUCAUGAGCAUCACUUAUGUCAAUCAGCUUCAAAAGCUUCCUUUACAGAGCUCUAUCUUCAAAAGCUUCAUUUACAGAGUUUUAGCUUCAAAAGCUUCAUUUACAGAGCUCUAGCUUCAAAGCUUCACUUGCAAAGCUUUCACCUACAAAGCUUCAGUGCAGGGUAUACAAAUACCGCAUCCGAACAAUCGCCACUUCGGCAUAUACAUGGAUUCUAUUUGAAGUCUCUAGCCAACAGACUUUAUUGACCGAAGACUUGGGGGACUACAUUAUGUACCAUAUAUUGGGCCUCAACUGGGCCUCAUGAAAAAUACUUGGGGGACUUAGCCCAUUAUUUAUGUACUGAGGAACGAGCCCUUAUUCUAUAAAAAGGACUCCCUCAAUUUCAUUAGAGAGCACCUAUUAUUCAUGUACUGAGGAGUGAGCCUUUAUUUUAUAAAAGAGACUCCUUCACCUUCAUUAGAGAGCAUCACCACCAGCUAAGCAACCGCCUCGCCGCGAGCAUCACUCCUAACUCAUCACUUAUGUAUUGAGGAGCGAACCCUUAUUCUAUAAAAUGGACUCCCUCACCAUCAUUAGAGAGCAUCGUCGCCAGCUGAGCAACUGCCUCGCCGCGAGCAUCAACUCUAGCCCAUCAUUUAUGUUUUGAGGAGCAAGCCCUUAUUCUAUAAAAGGGACUCCCUCACCUUCAACGCCAUAAGCCGAGCCAACCAAGGCAACAUAAGCCACAAGCCGAGCAGCCUCGCAACAUGUGCUACUUCUAGUUGAGCAUCAUUUCAGAUUAAGCACCGCCUCAUAUCGAGUAUCAGUCCUAGAUGACGUCCAGUUACUUCGCCCACACAUGGACUGAGUUUUAAGUCUCCAGCCAAAAGACUCUAUUGACUGAAUACUUGGGGGACUACUGUUUAUACCAUACUUAGGGCCUCCGUAUUUAGAUCUCGUAUAAAUACUAGGGGGACUCAAAUGUAAUUAUGUAAUAAAUGAAGGGGCAAAUAUGUAAUAAGUGAGGAGCCCUUAUUCUAUAAAAGGACCCCUCACUCUCCUCAUGAAGGGAGGCCAAAUCUUAGGCCAUACCCUCACCAUCUCAGAGCUCUCAUCCUCACAAAAAAGCUCUCUCUCUCCCUCUUCAACAUCUCGGAGAAAUACAAUAAUCAGUGUGGACGUAGCCCAAACAUUGUGGUGAACCAUGAUACAUCUUGUGUUAUUUACAUUUCUUGCAGAUUCAUGGUCGAAUUUACGUUGUCCCAAGACCUUCGGUUUUGUGCAUCAACAUAUUUGAUGGAUGAAAUAGAAACCUUGAUUAUCAUGUGGGUUGUUAUGUAGCUUGAAUUGAAUAAUUCAUGCUUGUCAAGUCCAACUGUUUGAUUGAGGAAUGUUAUGCCUUUUGGCUUGAGUGAAUAGUGUUAUAUGUCGAGUUAUAAAGACGUUGAACUACGAAUGGCUUGAUCCCUAUUGAGGGUACAUAGGCAAUCUAACGAAGAGGUUAGAUGCAGCCAUAAUGUAUACGCAAAAUUAUUAUGCAUCUAGAUCUUGAAUUAUAUUUUGUACAUAUCCAAAAAGGCGGGAUACGUUGAGUUACGAGCAUUUAGUGACGUCACGUGUCGAUCUGAGAUGUAUGUCGGGAUUGGGGCGUGACAAUUUAUCCCAGCCAUCUUUUUCCAGAUUCUGACGGUUGUAGCGGCAACCAGCUGAGAAGAAGAAAAAAAAGAAAAAAAAGGAAAAAAAAAAAAAGGAAGCCUAGAUCCGCGACCCGGAUCUAGCCCAACCUGAUUCUAAAAUGCAUAUGGAAUAUUCUUAGUGUUGACCUUUAAGAAAUUUUCUCGGAAAUCCUCCUAGGCUAAUUUCGACGUCUAGAGUCCAUUUUUGACUUCCAUUUAGGAAAAUUUUGAAGUUUUAACAUAGUUGACCACCGGGCCGUCUUUGUUGACUUUUUAAGUUUGAUCGUUCACUUUUCGUUGACUUUUUACAAAAUUUGCCUGGGACCCCUCUUAGCGUAUUUCGACGCUCUGAUUACUAUCGGAGACUCAGACUUUCUUAGCUUGAAAUGAUGUGACAUCGCAAGUACCUAUGAGUGGGUCUUUUCUUUUAUAUAGUACAUAUAUAUAUAUAUUUGUUAGUUUCCAUUUAUAUAUUUGGUAAAGAAUUUUCUACGUUACGCCUAGAUUAGGGUAACGUAUAUAAAAAUUAACGUAUUGAAGGAAUUCAUGCAAAUAUACUACGUCCUACGAGAUACACAUGUAUGCGUAUUAGUAUGGAUGCUUUAAUGGUAUUUACGGUUUUGAAUAGUAUUCCAUUGACUAGGGUUAUUGAAUUAUCGAUUUACCAUUGCAUGAUCAUAUUUGUGUUAUCUGCUCAUCGUGUGUUGCACUGGUGUUAGUACUUGCCUAGGCUAGGGCCAGUCUUUCACAUGUAUGUUCAAUUCGCACUGUACGCUCACUUUGGAUCCAUUGUAGGUGCCAGUCCUGUCCUCGAUUGCAAUAGGCAAUUAGGACUCGUAUGUGACGUGCUUAGCACCCGUUUUCAUGUGAUUGUAGUACUAGAGCGUAAAUCAUUAUUACACCCAGUCCUAUUCAUGUCAGAAUACCUUUGCAUGAACUCGUGUGUCAACAUAUGUCGAUGAGCACUCGAUGUGAUAUGUUUAUUUCUGCAAGAUAUUGUGAUUACUAGAAGUUAUGUACCUAUUUACGAAUUUUGUGACGUAUUGAAUUCUUGAGAUAUUGCAAACUACUGUAAGUAUUUUCAUACUAUACGUAGUAUGUAUAUUUUGGAAACUAUACUUGCUUUACGGUGAGGGGUUAUAAUGUUUUCAAAAAGCUUUUUAUAAAACUUUAUUUUUAAGCCCACUCAUCCUUGUUUUUCGUCCCUCCAGGAUUUAGUGGCAAUGUUCGUGUCGACGAGGAUUUCUGGCAAACGUUGAUAUCGGAGACUACUUCCGAUGGUAUAAUUCUCAAUCUACUAUACUGUACUUUACUUAUGCUCUUAUAUCACGUGUGAAAUGAGUUCAUUCACGCUCACUAGCGCACUCUUAUACUUAGGCACUUCUAGAUUUAAAUUUACUCACAUUUUUCACAUCACUACUCAUUAAUGAAAUCUUUAUUUUCCUAAAAGAUUAUUGCCUCAUAUGAGAAAGUCCCUAUAAUAUAAACCCUAAAUUUGAAGUUUACAUAAUUUUAUGUGAUAAUUUCAUUGGAAGCUAAUUCUUUUAGUUAAUUUAACUUGAUUUUAUUGUAAAAUAUUUUUUGUGUAAUAUUAUUACCCAAAAAGGUUCAAAAUUCUCAAAGCCAAAUUUUAUUCCAAUGGAGUUUUAAUGAAAAGUCCGCGGUACUGUUCACUUUAACGAAAAACCACAUUUUUACACUAAAAAUUCAAACUUAGUACUAUUCAUUUUACCUUUUAUUUUGUCCUUAUCAUUAAAACUCAAAGUUUUCGAGCCAUUUUCAUUAGUUUUCCUUUUAUUUGGGAGUUUUAACGAAAAGUCCGCGGACCCGGCUUUGCAACCCGGACCCAGCUUCUCUGCUCUCCCAGUUUCCAUACACUCUCAUCCCCUCCUAUUUUGUGCGAUCACGAUUAAGCACGUUAACAUUUUAUAUUGAUUUUUUUAUAGACAUAAUAAGACAAAAAACGAUAGUGAUAUAAAAUAUUGACGUGACUUAACAUUUGACAAAAAUUGAAGAUAAUUUUGUUUUUUUGACUAAAUGAUCAAAAUAAUUGGUGGCGAAUAAAAUCAGAAAUCUCACUUUGAAGAAACGAAACUUCCGACGUGGUGGGCUGCGACUUUUGACUGAUUGAGAGUCCUCCAUCCGCAGCUCCUCCGUCUUCCUCCCAAGCCUUUUACCUUUUCUUUCUUUCUUCUCCAAAACUAGCAAUCUGAGAUUUGAACCUCUCUCUCUAAGAAGCAGCGGCAUGCUUUUCCAAACGUAAUCUGCAAUUUAAUCAAACAGCCACCGAAUUUUCUGGAAUCCUGUCAACGCAGAGAUGCUUCGGAUUUUGAUCGGUCAACGCCAGCUGCUUACCUGAGCUCCAAAAGAUCCAACAGUGAUGACGUCCUCCACCUCUGUUUCUGUUUGGCUGAUUCUGCUGUUUGGCUUCUUUCACCUCUACAAGCUUGCUGCCAAUGUCGUCUCUGUGUGUUAUUGAAUUUGGGAGUGUUUGGUUGUGGGAACCGGAAUGAACUAAUGAAUGAAUGAAUGAAUGACUGAAUGACUGGAAACAUUCCCGAAGAGCUUGGGGGUUUGUCAGACUUGGUGAGCUCGGAUCUUUACUUGGCAACCUUGCAAAACUGCGUUUCCUAUAUGAACCCGCAUCCUUUUGUUAGAUAAAAUCUAUCGUCUUUCUUUUUUAUUCGAUAUGCUAAUCUGCUGUUUUUAAUUGUUCCAUUGGAGUGACUUUCUUCCUUAAAGUCCUUGUGCCGGAUGCAUAUAAUUUAUAGUAUGAUCCCUGGUUUCAAGAUUCACAAGAAGGGAACAUCCAGUCAUUGCAAGUCCUGUGAAUUUCAUACACUUUCAUCUCAGUAAGAGGGAGGAGAGAGUGAAAAGUUACUAAUUUCUCUACCAUCGGAGAAUGCAAAUAACAUAUAGUUUUGCCAUGGAAUGCAGGGAUCUUUCAAAUAACAAUCUGACAGGGAAUAUUCCAGUUAAUGGAUUCUUUUCACUUUUUACUCCCAUCAGGUUUGUUGAAGCAACUUUACUCUUUUUCUUUAACUUUAGGGACAAAAAUAACAAUCUGACAGGGGAUACACUUUCAUCUCAGUAAGAGGGAGGAGAGGGUAAUAUAGCUUGAUCAAGUUGGUGUUGUAGUUGUUGUAUGGGAUGCAGCUCAAAAACUUUUCUUUGCGCGACCUACAAGUUGCAACGGAUACCUAUAGCGACAAAAAUAUUAUUGGUAGAGGUGGAUUUGGUAAGGUUUAUAGAGGACGCUUAGCUGAUGGAACUCUGGUUGCUGUAAAAAGACUUACACAGGAGAGAACCCAAGACGGGGAACUACAGUUCCAAACAGAAGUUGAAAUGAUUAGAAUGGCUGUCCACCACCGCAAUCUGCUUUGUCUGCAUGGUUUUUGCAUGACACCAACAGAAAGGCUGCUUGUAUAUCCUUAUAUGGCUAAUGGAAGUGUGGCAUCUUGUUUAAGAGGUACUCAUCUAAAUUGUUUGCUGCGUUGAUGAAUCUUUUUGUUUUCACGACGUUAAAUUUUUUUUCGAUCACAUUGAUAUAAUGAAUUUAAAAACCUGACCAAUUUGGCUUGGAGUAUCAGCACUAAUUUUUUUAAUGUUUUUUUUCCUUCAAUUUUAAGUUACCUUCUCGAUGCUGAUUUUAUUUCUGUUUAAUUUGAAAAGGAUGACAAGAAGACCCUUUUUUUGGGUAGGACGGGUGGUAUGAUAUGUGUUAGACCACAUUACCUAUUGCUUGUAAUUUGAAAUUCUCCUCUCAUAAGUAUGUGGAUAUAUUAUUGUAGGUCGUCCGGAAGGACAACCUGCACUUGAUUGGCCAAUAAGACAACGCAUUGCAUUGGGAUCUGCAAGAGGCCUUGCUUAUUUACAUGAUCACUGUGAUCCAAAAAUUAUUCACCGUGAUGUGAAAGCAGCAAACAUAUUGUUGGAUGAGGAAUUCGAAGCAGUUGUUGGAGACUUUGGGUUGGCUAAACUCAUGGACUACAAGGAUACAUAUGUUACCACACAUGUAUGUAGCACAUUUGGUCAUAUGGCACCGGAGCACUUUUCAACUGGAGUGUCUUCCGAGAAAACUGAUGUUUUUGGAUACGGAGUCAUGCUUCUUGAACUCAUCACUGGGCAGAGGGCUUUCAAUCCUCAGCUUGCGAGUGAUGAUGAUGUCAUGUUAGUUGAUUGGGUAUGCAUUUACGUCUUUCUGUUUGUGUAUGUAGCUAGUUUAUUGUUAUAUGAUUAUUUCCCAACAACAUUUGCAUUUCCUUAGUAAUUAGCUUUUAGAAAAUAAGUUUGGUUUAAUUAGCUUUUAUUAGUUAGAGUUAUGAUUAGCUGUGUAGAUUUUUUUAUCUUUAUUUAUAACAAUCCAAGGUUUAAACUGUCAGAGAUUAAUUAUUGCAUUUCCUUAGUAAUUGUUACUAUUGUUGUUGCUUCUUUUGCCAAUGUAUUGGCAUUUUGUGAUUUCUUGAAGAAUUUGGCAUAUGUUUUGUGUCGAUCCUAAUUUCCUCAUCAUCUCCUUAUUCUUGCUAUCUUGGCCUCUCGCUUUUUCCUAUUCUCUCUAUUGCAUCUUUGUCUUCUCUUUGCAUGAUAUCAAUAUUUGAAUGACGAUACAUUUUUGUAAGCAGUUUGAUUUUCUGUAGAAAAAAGUUUGAACAUUACAACACAUUUUUGUUCUCCUAGAUUCCCGCACCUUUUGUUUCAAAUUGUCGAACCACCCGACAAUUUCUGUUUUAUUUUUCCUAAAAAAAUUAGGUCAAAUGACUACUGAAAGAUCGGAGGUUGGAAAGACUUGUUGAUGCUGAUCUAAAUGGAAAUUAUAUUGACGAUCAAGUGGAGCAGCUGAUCCAAGUAGCUCUACUGUGCACACAAGGCUCCCCAGGGGAACGGCCCAAGAUGUCAGAGGUUGUCCAAAUGCUUGAAGGCGAAGGCGAAGGUUUGGCUGAAAGAUGGGAGGAGUGGCAAAACAAGGAGAUGAUCCGCCAAGAUUUCAACACUAUUCAUCAUCCAAGUACUUGGAUCAUAGACUCACCUUCUCCUAAUUUUGUGUUGUACUAUUUCUGUGAGUUUGAAGAAAUGGAUAAAAAGAAAGGAAAACCAAUGAAAAAGGCUUGAAAACUUUGAGUUUUAAUGAUAAGGACAAAAUAAAGGGUAAAGUGAAUAGUACCAGGAUUGACUUUUUAGUGUAAAAAUGUGGUUUUUCAUUAAAGUGAACAGUACCGGAUGCUUUUCGUUAAAGUUCCCUAAAAAGAAUGACAUGUGAUAGAGAGUUCAUCAUAUAGCUUCUGACUUUAAGGAUUUUUCAUUUAGUUCUAGUUCAUGUUGCGCAAAAAAUAUUAGGUAACACUGCUACUGGGGCUAUUGCAGGAGGGGUUGCUGUUGGUGCUGCUUUACCGUUUGCUGCACCUGCAAUUACACUUGCUUAUUGGCGACGGAGAAAACCACAGGAUCAUUUCUUUGAUGUACCUGGUUAGUGAACUAUAGGAGUAAUAUAGCUUGAUAAAGGUGGUGUUGUAGUAUGGGAUGGAGGUUUCACUAAUCUACUGUCUUUGCAGCUGAGGAGGAUCCAGAAGUUCUUUUAGGACAGCUCAAAAGGUUUUCUUUGCGCGAACUACAAGUUGCAACGGAUACCUUUAGUAACAAAAAUAUUCUUGGUAGAGGUGGAUUUGGUAAGGUUUAUAAAGGACGCUUAGCUGAUGGAACUCUGGUUGCUGUAAAAAGACUUAAAGAGGAGAGAACCCAACGUGGGGAGCUACAGUUUCAAACAGAGGUUGAAAUGAUUAGCAUGGCUGUCCACCGCAAUCUGCUUCGUCUGCGUGGUUUUUGCAUUACACGAACAGAAAGGCUGCUUGUAUAUCCUUAUAUGGCUAAUGGAAGUUUGGCAUCAUGUUUACGAGGUACUCUUCUAAAUUGUUUGCUGCGUUGAUAAAUCUUCUUGUUUUCACGAAAUUAAAAAAUGGGUAAAUUACAUUUUACACCCUCAGGUUUGAGUGUAAUUGUAACCUCAUACAAUAUUUUUAAAACAUUUCAAUUUUAUACAUUUCCUUAUCAUUUCUAGCAAUUUCAUACAUCUGUUAGUCAAACCGUGAGUUUGACUGUUAAGGAAUGACAUGGCAAAUGUGAGGUCCACAUUUUUAUUGACGGGGAUGCCAACUAUGAUUCACGUGGAAUAAAAACAAAUAAAAAAGAUUAAUAAAUAGAAAAUUAAAUUUUUUUAUAAUUAAAAACUAAAAAAAUAGAAAAGAUAAAAAAAAUGGUGUUGUUCAUCCCUUUCCUGCUCUCACCCCGUCCCCGCAUUCUUCAUUUCCCCCCGCCCACCAUCGCCACCUUCCCUUUCCUCAGCCACUGCAAUGAAUAGACCACAUUACCUGUUGCUUGUAAUUUGAAAUUCUCCUCUCAUAAGUAUGUGGAUAUAUUAUUGUAGAUCGUCCAGAAGGACAACCUGCACUUGAUUGGCGAAUAAGACAACGCAUUGCAUUGGAAUCUGCAAGAGGCCUUGCUUAUUUACAUGAUCACUGUGAUCCAAAAAUUAUUCACCGUGAUGUGAAAGCAGCAAACAUAUUGUUGGAUGAGGAAUUCAAAGCAGUUGUUGGAGACUUUGGGUUGGCUAUACUCAUGGACUACAGGGAUACACAUGUUACCACAGCUGUACGUGGCACAAUUGGUCAUAUAGCACCAGAGUACCUUUCAACUGGAAAAUGUUCCGAGAAAACUGAUGCUUUUGCAUACGGAGUCAUGCUUCUUGAACUCAUCACUGGGCAGAGGGCUUUUGAUCUUGCUCGGCUUGCGAAUGAUUAUGAUGUCAUGUUACUUGAUUGGGUAUGCUUUUACGUCUUUCUGUUUCUGUUUGUUGCUAAUUUAUUGUUAUAUGCAAGAUUAUUUUCCAACAAUAUUUGAAUGAGGUCCACCUUUGAGAGUUUUAACGAAAAGUCCACGGUACUGUUCACUUUAACGAAAAAUCAUAUUUUUACAUUAAAAAGUUAAUCCUGAUACUAUUCACUUUACUCUUUAUUUUGUCUUUAUCGUUAAAACUCAAAGUUUUGAAGCCUUUUUCAUUAGUUUUCCUUAAUAUCUUUCAUAUUUUAUAAAAUAAAAAAAAAGACAUAAUGUUGUUGAAAUUCAACGAUAUUCUUGCUUCGAUCUAUUGUUUCCCUAAGUCCAAAUCUUGGAAAUUAUGUUUCAAUACUCAUUUUAAAGAAAUGUUAUAUAAUAUACUGUAAAUUAGGUGUAUCUCUCGAUACCAAUGUUGCUAUUUAUUUAAGCCAAAAAUAAUGGGUCUCGACACCUAAUCACUUUAUUUCAAACCGCUAAUCUCAUAUGACAUUCUUAAUCAUUGUAUAUGGAACAUUUCUGCAAUCAUUUUAGUUGGUUCUUUGCAAUACUUUAAAAACCUAUUACUCAUCAUAGAGCUGCCAAGUUCCUGUCUAAUUAAUGUAAAAAUCACUUAGUCUUUUUUGGCCCGAAUAUUGAAAACAAUUAGAAUCAUGGAUCAAAGAAAAGAAAUAAUACUUAACUUUUAGAAAAUAACUUUAGUUUAAUUAGCUUUUAUUAGUUAGACUUACGAUUAAGCUGUGAAGAUUUAUUUAUCUUUAUUUACAACAAUCUAAGAUUUAAAUUGUCAGAGAUUAAUUAUUACAUUUCCUUGGUAAUUGUUGUUAGUAUUGUUGUUGCUUCUUUUGCCAAUGUAUUGGCCUUGCUGUGAUUUCUUGAAGAAUUUGGCAUGUGUUUUGUAUCGAUCCUAAUUUCCUCAUUAUCUCUUUAUUCUCGCUAUCUUGGCUCUUUCUUCUUUUUAUUCUCUGUUUGCAUCUUUGUCAUAUGUUCGCAUCACAUCAAUAUUUGAAUGACGAUGCAUUUUUGUAAGCAAUUUGAUUUUCUGGAGAUACUGCGGCCCUUCAAAUUUUGAACAUUACAACACAUUUUCACUCUCCUAGGUGCCCUCACCUUUUGUUUCAAAUUGUAGAACUAUCUGAUUUUGUUCCUUUUUAUUUUAACUAAAAUAAUUAGGUCAAAGGACUACUGAAAGAUCGGAGGUUGGAAACACUUGUUGAUGCUGAUCUAAAUGGAAAUUAUGUUUACGAUCAAGUGGAGCAGCUCAUCCAAGUAGCUCUACUAUGCACACAAGGCACCCCAGGGGAACGACCCAAGAUGUUAGAGGUUGUCUGGAUGAUGGAAGGGCGAUGGUUUGGCUGGGAGGAGUGGCAAAAAGAGGAGGUGUUCCACCAAGAUUUCAACCCUAUUCAUCAUCCAAGUACUAAUUGGAUCACAGACUCAACUUCUCAUAUUCCUCUGGAUGAGUUGUCUGGUCCCAGAUGAUAUGCUCGUUGGUUCUGUCCCCUGUAUACAUGUAAGAAGCCUCAGAGGACUGUAGAAGGUCCAUUUUGUAUUUCAGUGAUACAACAUUUGUGCAUAUGUUUUGUCUUUGUUUUCGAUUUUGUUUUUGUCUCUCGUAUUUUUUAGAUCACAAAAAUGGAGCUGGUGCUGUUGUAAUUUUUAUAGGGUUAACUGGCAUUACGAAGUUAUAUGGUGCUAGCAGGAAUUAGGAAGGGCCAUAAAAGCACCCAUUCCUGAUGAUUUAUGUAUCUAUCCAGAAAUUAGUUCAGAUUGUCGAGUAAAUAAUCAUUCUGAAGUUAUAACUAUAUAUAUUUUUUAGUGUUCCAAUAGAUCCUAUAGAUACGAUAAGGACACUAGGUCAAGUGCGUUCCUAUAGAUCCUUUAGAUACGAUAAGGACACUAGGUCAAGUGCACGGCUGCUUGUGGACGGAUAGUGUUUGAAAUUUCAUCGUGAUCAUUGCAAGUGUGACUUUGUGGCACUACCCUUAUAAGUACUUGAACUAAGGCAUUAGGGAUCAAGAGAUCACUUUGUGUCAUUCCAAAACAGGAAUUUGAGCUCUGUCUAUCCUCUUUAAAGUAUCGUCAAUGGGGAUCCCUCUACUAUCUUUGAGGAUUUAUUUAAGACCAACUGUAGGGUAAGACCCAAACCUAAAUUUCUAAGUUUAAACAAAAUAAAAAUGCAAUCUAAUUGUGGGAUUUUUUUGUUUUUUUUGAACAAAAUAUAUUAUCUAGAUUAGGUUAAGCUUUACAGUGGGCUAGUAAUAAUAUGGUUCAAAUUUGUCUUUGGCGAAAAUCGAACCUAAAGACCUCUAUUAUAUGUGAAGAGAAAUAUCAGUAAACUGUAGUACUAGAUAGUAUCUAAUGGUUGGACUUAAAGCUAAAAAGUUUGGCUUUUACCCAAGCUAAACCCAAAUUUGGGUUUUGUAUUUGGCAGACCCAAAUUUUUGGGGGCCCUACCUUUUUUUUUCUGAAAAGCAACGGGCGAAUGAUGUAUUGAAGUGGCCGACAGAUGGGUCCCUCACCUAGCAGAGUCCCAGCUGCAAAACAGUAACAGUUUAAGCAACUACGAGCCAUUCGAUUUGUGGGCCAUUGGUGAUCAACGGUCUAGGUUAAAAUCCUUUCAUGCUUUGCAAUCUUUAAAUUUUGAUCUAAUUGUUCAUAUAUAUAUUUUUUCAAAUCUAACGGUAAAAUAAAUCCAACUACUGAAAUUUAAAUUCAACGUCAAAAAUUAUUUUAUUUAGAACAUAUCCAUUAUACAUUUGGAUGGUUGGUGUGGUUUGUUCGGUUUUGAAUUUUUUGUUGAAAUUUAAUUUUUUUAAUGUCAAAACACUUGUCAAAUUAAAUUAAAAUAAUAUAAUUCAAAAGUAAAAAAUUUAAAAAAAAAUCCUACCGAAAAAAAAUUAGGGUUAAAACUAUAUUCCACCACAAUUAGUACAUUUUAGGCCAUGAAAUUUAGAUCUUGAUGGUUGGGUGAUAUUCACUUCAUAGACUUAAAUUCUGUCUUUUGAUGGACUAAAUAUUUGGGUUUGGGUGUAAAGGUUGGAGCUGGUCUAAGGACUUUAAUGAAAUCUUAUAUUUCUAAACGAGUUGCCUCAUAUGAGAAAGUCCUUAUAGUAUAAAUCUUAAAUUUGAAGUUUACAUAAUUUUAUGUGAUACUUUCAUUGGAAGCUAAUUCUUUUAGUUAAUUUAACUUGAUUUUAUUGUAAAAUAUUUUUUUGUGAACAUUAUUACCCAAAAAAGUUCAAAAUUCUCGAAGCCAAAUUUUAUUCUUUAGAACUACAAUAGCUUUCAUUAUUGGCUAUGUCAUGGUCUAUUAUUUCUGAUCAGAAUCAGACCUGGACUCUUUGCAACGCUUGGUCAACUAAAUGAAUUAUUAAUUAAAAGUAGCUUGAUAAUCAUUUUGUUUUCAAUUUUUAAUUUUUAGCUUAUACUUUUCUAUUAUGAAAUUAAUCAAAAUGGUUCAUGAAAUUGGCAUAAUUAAUCAUUUCGGUUCCUGAGAUUUGAAAUUGCUAGAAGUGAUCCCUGAGUUUGUUAACUAUCAAUUAUUUUGAUCAUUCGAUUAAAAAUCUCUAUUGAAUAAGAAGCAUGUUUAUACCAUAUUUAGGGCCUCGUAUUUAGACCUCGUAUAAAUACUCGGGGGACUUAAAUGUAAUUAUGUGAUAAAGGAAGGGGCAAAUAUGUAAUAAGUGAGGAGUCCUUAUUCUAUAAAAGGACCCCUCACCCUCACAAUUAGAAAAAGGCCUCACUCUCACUCUCGAAAAAGCCAAAUUCUUAGGCCCUCUCACCCUCUCUCAACGCUCUCACUCUCAGAGCUCUCUCUCCUUCAAAUAAAUACAAUCAGUGUGGACGUAGCACAAACCUUGGGGUGAACCACGAUACAUCUUGUGUUAUUUACAUUUCAUGCAGAUUCACGGUCGGAUUUACGUUGUUCCAAGACCUCCGGUUUUGUGCAUCAACAUUUGGCGCCGUCUGUGGGAAACGACACGAAAAGUUAUGUCGGUUCUCUCUCAAUUUUUCAUCUCCGCCGUGAAUCUGCAGAAAUCCAAGAACCCAAAAACCUCACUUUUUGGGUUUCUCCAGAAAACUUUCGCAGACCUCCAACCACCUCUGCCUCCUCUCUCAGUCAGUCAACACGGAAACCAAAGAUUUCAGCUGCAAAUUCACCUGCUUUUGCAGCCCAUCCACGCCACCAUGUCCUCAUAUUUCCACCGAGUUCCAAAGUGCUCACCAGAAAAAAUGAUGGCUUCCAUGUCUUUCUCUACAACUUUUUCAACACCUUUACAGAUUUUUCUCAAGCAAAAACAAAAAUAAGCACGAAUUCUUUAGCUUUAUGCCCUCCCAUGGCGUGUUGGAUCAAAUCCUCACUUGGGUCUCCUAAUCGGCAUUUUUUCGAAAUGGGUGGUCUUUCCAAUCGGAGAAUUUUAAUGGGUUUCUGAUCAAAUCUUGGUCUUUGGUUGUCUAUGCUAAAGCAGCUACAACAACAUCUCUAUAUAUCUCUCAUGUCCCUCAUCUCUAUCUUGUCCCUCAUCGCUCAGCCUGACACAUCAAUCAACACACCCAACUGAAAGAGGGAUAGUUUCGUGAUUACCCUGAUUCCGCCAUGGGCAUUCCCUGCGACGACAUCGUCGUUAUCAAGCCGAGGAAGGCUCCUGAUGAGCCAUCCGUCCUCACCGUCAACUGUCCCAACAAGGCCGGCCUUAGCUGCGAUUAGGAGAGGUUAAAGGAUCAGCUCUCGUCCGCGUGCCCGUCGUCGUGCUUCUUCUCAUUUUAUCUCAAUCAAAUCUCCAACGUCCCAACGCCUUCUUCGGUCUAUCUGUUGAAGUUUUGGUGCCACGACCAGAGAGGCUCACUCCACGAUGUUUGAGCCAUUGUGCGAUUUGGGCAAGAAUUUAUGGGAUCUCGCGGUGGCCCAGAUGGUUUAUGAUGAUGUUGUUGGGGUUGGAGUGGUCGAGGAGAUCAAAAAUCAAUGGCUUUUCUCAGUUUUCAGCAUCUGUCAAUUUGGCGGAGGAACGAAAGAUGCCAAAAUUAACUGCUGAGAGUACCUGGGAUUUUGAGAUGUGAUUCAUUAUUGUAUCUGAUAAACAACUUAGAAUUGUCUCUGCCACGUGUUCCACACCGAGUGCAUUGACAGGGGGCUGGAGUAUAAUGAUCAUCAUCAUCACCAUCACGACGAGGACAAUCACAAAACUUGCCCGCUCUGCAGGACUCCAUUAUUGAUGUCAUUGUAGAAGCGGAGCCUGAGUUGGGACCUUGCAGGCUUAAAAGGGACGGUCAAAUAAGAGGCUUAUUUCACUGAACAAAGUUAAACAGCAUGAAAAAGGAGAUUCAAUGUGCGGAGAUCCAGUAUGGAACUGGUGCAAUUUCAGGUUUCUUCCACCAGGACCAUGUCCAAGUCGGUGAUCUUGUUGUUAAGGAUCAGGACUUUAUUGAGGCAACCAAAGAGCCUGGAGUCACGUUUGUGGCAGCUAAGUUUGAUGGUAUUCUUGGACUUGGAUUUCAACAUAUCUCAGUUGGAGAUGCUGUUCCUGUCUGGUAUAAUUUGGUCAAUCAAGGUCUUGUUAAAUAACCAGUUUUCUCAUUUUGGUUAAAUCGCAAUACAGAAGGGGAAGAAUGGGGUGAGAUUGUCUUUGGUGGGGUUGAUUCUAGUCAUUUCAAGGGUGAGCAUACAUAUGUUCCCGUGACUCAGAAAGGCUACUGGCAGUUUGAUAUGGGUGAUGUCUUAAUUGAUGGUGAAUCAUCUGGAUUUUGUGCUAAUGGCUAUUCAGCAAUUGCUGACUCAUGCACCUCCCUAUUGGCUGGACCAACGGAAGUAUGGAGAGGUGGUGGAGGCUGUGAUCAUGAGGGAUCGUGCAAAAGGGGAGAUAAGAUUAAUGUACUUAUCAUUCCUUGUCUGCCAUCUACAAAAGAGAAAAGAAGACAGAAACAAAAGCAAAAGUAAAGCAGAAAAGGAAAAGAGAAAAGAAGAAGAGAGGAACAUGGAGACAUUUCAAAAGCAAGGAAUAAACACCCCACCAGAAUGAUGUAUUUUUUUUAUCUUUCGGAAAUAUCUGUAUAAACCCCAUCAGAGGGUAACUAAAAAAAAAUAGCAAAGCCCAAAACAAAUGGGCUGCCAUGUUGUGGAGGGCGAAGGCUCAUAAGCCCGAAAUAGCACCAACCAGGUGAUCAAAAGUACGCCUAGUACUCCACAAUUAUUCGGCAACCCACCGCUAUUACCACCAACCAGGUGAUCAAAAGUACGCCCAGUACUCCAAAAUUAUUCGGCAACCUGCCGCUAUUACCACCAACCAGGUGAUCAAAAGUAUGCCCAGUACUCUAAAAUUAUUCGGUAACCCGCCGCUAUUACCACCAACCAGGUGAUGAAGUGUACAACCCGUACUCUAAAUAUCAUUUGGCAACUAGCCAUUCAUGCCACCAACCAGGUGAUGAAAUGUAAACCCGUACUCUAAUAUCAUUUGGCAACUAGCCAUUCAUGCCACCAACCAGGUGAUGAAAUGUACAACCCGUACUCUCCUUCAUGCCACCAACUAGGUAAACAAAAGUACGCCCAAUACUUCAAAUUAUACAUGAGCAUUACUCAUGUCAAUCAUACAUAAACAUUCAUGAGCAUCACUCAUAUCAAUCAUACAUAAACAUUCAUGAGCAUCACUCAUGUCAACAUUCAUAAGCAUCACUCAUGUCAACAUCCAUGAGCAUCACUCAUGUCAAUCAAACAUUCAUGAGCAUCACUCAUGUCAAUUAAACACUCAUGAGCAUCACUCAUGUCAAUCAGCUUCAAAAGCUUCAUUUACAAAAGCUCUAGCUUCAAAAGCUUCAUUUACAGAGCUCCAGCUUCAAAGCUUCACUUGCAAAGCUUCAUUUACAAAGCUUCAGUGCAGGAUAUACAAAUACCACCUCCGAACAACCGCCACUUCGGCCCAUACAUGGAUUCAAUUUGAAGUCUCUAGCUAACAGACUCUAUUGACUGAAGACUUGAGGGACUACACUAUACACCAUAUAUUGGGCCUCAACUAGGCCUCAUGAAAAAUACUUGGGGGACUCUAGCCCAUUAUUUAUGUAUUGAGGAGCGAGCCCUUAUUUUAUAAAAGGGAUUCCCUCACCAUCAUUAGAGCAGCAUCAACUAUAGCCCAUUAUUCAUGUAUUGAGGAGCGAGCCCUUAUUUUAUAAAAGGGACUCCUUCACCAUCAUUAGAGAGCAACGCCGCCAGCUGAGCAACCGUCUCGCCGCGAGCAUCAACUCUAGCCCAUCAUUUAUGUAUCGAGGGAACGAGCCCUUAUUCUAUAAAAGGGACUCCUCACCAUCAUUAGAGAGCAUCAACUCUAGCCUAUCAUUCAUGUAUUAAGGAGCGAGCCCUUAUUCUAUAAAAGGGACUCCCUUAUCUUCAAACGCCGCAAGCCGAGCCAACCAAGGCGCCAUAAGCCACGAGCUGAGCAGCAUCGCAGCAUGUGCUACUUCUAAUUGAGCGUCAUUUCAGAUUGAGCACCGCCUCAUAUCAAACAUCAGUUCAAGAUAACAUCUAGUUACUUCGGCCCACACAUGGACUGAAUUUCAAGUCUCCAGCCAAAAGACUCUCUUGACUGAAGACUUAGGGGACUACUGUUUAUACCAUAUUUAGGGCCUCGUAUUUAGACCUCGUAUAAAUACUCGGGGGACUUAAAUGUAAUUAUGUGAUAAAGGAAUGGACAAAUAUGUAAUAAGUGAGGAGUCCUUAUUCUAUAAAAGGACCCCUCACCCUCACAAUUAGAAAAAGGCCUCACUCUCACUCUCAAAAAAGCCAAAUUCUUAGGCCCUCUCACCCUCUCUCAACGCUCUCACUCUCAGAGCUCUCUCUCCUUCAAAUAAAUACAAUCAGUGUGGACGUAGCCCAAACCUUGGGGUGAACCACGAUACAUCUUGUGUUAUUUACAUUUCAUGCAGAUUCACGGUCGGAUUUACGUUGUUCCAAAACCUCCGGUUUUGUGCAUCAACAAAGCAAAUGACAAAAAUAACCUCAAUUCAAUAAAUAAUGGACCGUAAUAAUUUGACAAAAAUUGAAGAUAAUUUUUUUUUUUUUUUACGAAAUGAUCAUGUUGAAUAAAAUCAGAAAUCUCAAAACAAAGUGAGGAAUUGCAUAACAAUUUCAGAUAUCAGCUAAAAAGUAAAAAAUAAAUAUAAACAAAAGAAGAAACGAAACUUCCGACGCUGUGGGCUGCGACUUUGACUGAUUGAGAGUCCUCCAUCCGCAGCUCCUUCGUCUUCCUCCCAAACCUUUUACCUUUCUUCUUUCUUCUCCAAAACUAGCAAGCUGAGAUUUCAACCUCUCUCUCUCUAAGAAGCAGCGGCAUGCUUUUCCAAACUCAAUCUGCAAUUUAAUCAAACAGCCACCGAAUUUUCUCUAAUCCGGUCAACGCAGAGAUGCUUCGGAUUUUGAUCGGUCAACGCCAGCUGCUCACCUGAGCACCAACGGGCCCAACAGUGAUGACGUCCUCCGCCCCUGUUUCUGUUUGGCUGAUUCUGCUGUUUGGAACCUCCAUAAGCUCGCUGCCAACAUAGAAGGUAUGUCUGUGUCUCUGUGUUUUUGAAUUUGGGUGUGUUUGGUUGCGGGAAUUGGAAUGAACUAACGAAUGAAUGAAUGAAUGAUUGGAUUUGACAGGUGACGCAUUGAACGCGUUGAAGACCAAUCUAGCUGAUCCAAACAAUGUUCUGCAGAGUUGGGAUCCGGCUCUCUACAAUCCCUGCACCUGGCUUCAUGUCACUUGUAAUAGCAAAAACAGGGUUACUGUGGUGUAAGCAAACCCAACAAACACCUCCUUUUCAAUUCAGUUCAAUUCAAUUCGAUUCGAUUCAGUUCAGUUCAAUUCACUUGUAACAGCGGAAAUAGCAUUACGGGAAGUUUUUAACAUUUUUGCUCCACCCAGUGAUCUUGCCAAUGCCAAUCUCUCUGGUCAUCUGGUGGCACAGCUUGGUGUGCUUUCCAAGUUGCAGUACUUGUAAGCAUGUUUUUCGCUCUGAUUUUUUGUUCGGGUCUUAUCCAACUGUUCCAUCACUAUGCAUUCGAAUUGAAAUUGGUAUUGAUACAUGACUGAUGAAUUUCACAACUGCAUUUGACAUUAUUGAAACACACUUUCUUGACAGGGAACUUUCCAAUAAUAGCAUAACUGGAAACAUUCCCGAAGAGAUUGGGGGUUUGUCAGACUUGGUGAGCUUGGAUCUUUACUUGGCAACCUUGCAAAACUGCGUUUCCUGUAUGAACCCCCAUCCCUUUGUUAGAUAAAAUCUAUCGUCUUUCUUUUUUUAUUUGAUAUGCUAAUUAUGCUGUUCGGCUCAACCCAAUAUUGUGGUCAAGGCAUGUAGCUUGAGUUUUGACUUUUUCUAGGAGUGGGUCCUGAACAGUAAGGGGCCUUAACAUCGGAAUAUUUACAUAAAUAUACUAGCGAUAGAACCCGCGCGAUGUCGCGAGUUUUAAAACUUUGUUAAACGUAUGCAAAUAUAUUAAAAUCUAAUUAUAUCCAUAUCAAAGAAAUAUCUAUUUACAUCCUCAUAUUCAAUAAGGGAAAAAGAUAUAUAUAUAAAUGUAGGAUAUAUCACAUAUUAAAAUUUGUCUACAUCCAUACCAAAGUCUAUUUGCAUCCUUACGUGUAAUAAUGAACAAAAGAUAGGUAUUUGAAGAAUACAUUACAUAGAAAAAGUUGUGGAUUAAGUUGUUCAUACAAAUACAAUCAUAUAAAAAUAUAUUCAUUUUCCUUGUCCCAACUUUUCUACAUUCAGUACUUCACUCUUCUUUCUUCUUUGUUUUUCUGUAGAUGAGGAUGUACAUUUUUCCUCAAGUAAUCUGUUCAAGAUAAAUUCAUUGGUUAGGCUUCUGAAUCAUAUGAGCCUUUAAUUGGCUUAUAAAAAUGCUCAUUUUUCAUAUGAGAAGGACAACCAGUUUAGAGUUUCGAAAGAUAAAUAAAAAUUCCAAUUCUCACCAAGAAAAAAAGCCGAAGAAAUACAAUGGGUUUAGAUGAGAGACGAAGUCUUUACCAACUAACAAAUGAAGUAAAUCAUGUUGUUCAAUACUUGAGCUUCCAAUUUAGUACACUUACAUCUUCAAUCUCCAACAAAACAAAACAAAAAAAUUGAAAAAUCAUUUAGUAUAAUUGUCACAACAUGUUGAAGAUGCAUGUACCCAACCAAUUGCUUCACCGUUCACCUAUAUCCUCGGUGCUAUAAAUUCGAAUAAAAAACCAGUAAAUAAAAGUGGUUAAGCAAAAACCCUCACUUCUCAUUACAUGUUGAAAUUUCUUUAAGCUCUAAACCUACUCCCAUUGUGUUACUUUUGUAGUGCAUGUUGUGCCUUGGUCGUUCGUCAGUGCAGAAGUGAGAUUCAGAUUGUCUCACCAAACUACAGACCCACAGUUGAACAGUUUAAAUUACAAGAAAUAAAUACACUGAGAAAUUUACGAGGUUCGGCAAAAAUCUGCCUACGUCCUCCAAGAGAUAUUGCUCUUCACUAUGAGAAUAACUAGUACAAGAUACACUUGAGUUAAAUUAACAUAACCCAAACCCCAAUCCUUUGUACCCUCACAGAAUUUUACUAAGAGCCUCACUCUCUCCAAGAGUUUCUCACUCUCACUCUAUAUUUUCUCUCCUUUGUGUUCUCCUUCGGAUGCUCUCUCAAAUGCAUUUCUAAAUGCACAAAUAUUGCAUCUAGUUAUACGCAUACACUAGCAACUAUGCCAACAAACAAGACCCAAAAGUCUUAAGUUCACAUGACAUAAUUAUCACCUAGCCUACCUAGCAUGCAUCAAAGUCUAUACCUAGUCUAUAAAGUACAACUUUUCUCCAUUUGUCAUUUAAUACAUAUAAAAUAAAACAUGCACAAUAAAACAUGCACAAUUGUGUGCAAGCAACCAUAAAGUCAAGUCUUGCUUCCAACUUUGCUUGUGGUAGUCACCAUGUCUUCUCUUGAAACAAGACAUCCAUGCCAUAACCGAAAGCCAAACACAAAGUGGUUACUGCCAUUUCCCUGUAGCACUCAGAAAGUUACACUAUCAAAAUUGUUGCCAACUCAUAAGUAUAUGAGCCAAGCACAACAGUGCAUACACUACAAAAACCAAAAAGAAAAUGCUGCAAAGGGGAAAUUGGAAAAUCAUAUCACCAGCAAACAUUGCACGAAAGGCAUCUGAAGAAGCAAGCAGGCAAGUUCUGUGAGCAUACCAUCUACCUGCAAUUGGUCAGUAGAAAUUUAAAGAGGUACUUUAUGUUAACAAUACAAUCACACACGCUAAUUGAAUACUCUGUGAUUAAGAAAAAGAAGAGGAACUCACGCUGUGCUUCUUGAAAACUGGCGAGAGAACUGGAACUGGGUUGGAAGAAUGUACUGGAAGCAAAUGGAACACCCCAGCUUUUUCAGCCUCGUCAUGAAAUAAUAUUAACAAUUCGGUCAAGUAUAAAACCAUCUGCCAGUUAUGGUUUUUGUAAAUUAUGUAGAAGCCAAAUAUCUAAUAAAUAGUCUAACAAUAAUUAAGUAAUCUGGUUUAAGAUUAAUCAAAAAGCUUGGGAAUUUCAGCUGUUAAAUCACACCUCAGGCUGCAACUCGACAAAGUCUGCGAAAUCACAAUCCAAAAUGCGAUCUUCAGUCUUCCGGCCUCUGUUGCAAAAAUUAAUCCCACAGUCCCCAAAAAAUAAAAAACUUGAAGUUUGAUUUGAAAUUAAAAAUUCAUUCUUUGAAGAUAAAUUCCAAAAAUUUAAAAUUAUAUGCGAGAGAGAGACCUUGUUAAUAUUCGGAGUUAGAGUGAGGAGUUCUCGAAUUGGGAGCGGCGGGGUUUCGUUGCAAAUUUUCCGAAGAAAAUUUCCACGAAUGAAGGGUCAUCGCGAUUUUUUGGCUGGAGGAAAUGAGGUUUUAAGAUUUUUGGAAUUUUGAGUGAAUGGACAGUGUGGCUGGUUGCGAGACAGAGAAAGAGAAGUUGGGGUGUUUUCGUCCCCUUUAAUAUCUGUUGUUGUUGCGAUUAUUUGUGAUUUAAUUAGCACUUUCUUUUCCACGAAAUAGGCGCCCAUACAACAACAGCUUGUCAGGGCGUAUUCCCGUGACUCUGACUAACAUUCAAUCAUUGCAAGUCCUGUGAGUUUCGUACACUUUCAUCUCAGUAAGAGGGAGGAGAGGGAAGUUGCUAAUUUCUCCGCCAUCAGAGAAUGCAAAUAACAUAUAGUUUUGCCAUGGAAUGCAGGGAUCUUUCAAAUAACAAUCUGACAGGGGAUAUUCCAGUCAAUGGAUCUUUUUCACUUUUUACUCCCGUCAGGUUUGUUGAACCCACUUUACUUUUUUUUUCUUUACCUUUUUUCCUGCGGUGGCUGUCCCAGCGGACGAUCUAAAUGAUGUACUGACUGCUAUUAUUCAUUUUGUAGUUUUUCCAAUAAUCCUCGUCUGAAUCCACCUCCUCCCGUUUCUCCAACCCCACCAAGUUCUCCAGGUUUUUACAACUUAUACUGUUCUUGUGAUAUUAACUCAAAUUUAUUUUGAGAACAGUUGAAUAUCAGAGUACUAGACUACAAAAUAAGAAUAUUAUUACACAAAUAAGAAUGGCAAAACGGUUGCAAAAUUUAAAAACACUACAUUGUGACACACUUGUUCUAAAGAAAAUAACAUGCAUCCUAUUUAUAAUAAAUUAUAACCUUAAUCUCUAACAAAUCCUAAUUUUAACGGGCUGACCUCAAAUCCUAAACUUAUUACUUUCCAGCUGGCUCUGUUUUGUUUCACAGACACUUGUGAUAUCGACUCCAGUCCAUUGGUAGUUAAUGUUUUUUCUUGGUGUUUUUCUGUUAAAUUUUUUUCAUAGUACAACAUUAUUGUUGGAAUCACUGCUGUAAAGAUUCUAAGAAGAUGGUAGUUAGGAAAGGAAUGGAUUGAGGAUCCGAGAGGAUACUCCUAAAUUCCUAUGAGUUUGAAGAAAUGAAUUAAAACAAUGACAUGUGAGAGGGAGUUCAUCAUAUAACAUCCGACUUUUAAGGAUUUUUCAUCUCGUUCUGGUUCAUGUUGUGCAAAUAACCCUUCCCUUUUAACUCUGGUGGUUCAUAUUAGGUGCCGGAUUCGGUGAAAUAGUGUCCGGAUUCUGUAUCGGUACGGACGUACCAUUACUUUAGCGAUUCGGUGGUGAAUUCAGUGGUUCAUCUAAUCAUAUCUGAUAAUUUCUAAUCAGAUUACAGAAAAGAAAACGCACCUGUAAUUUUUGGAAAGAGAGGAGCGAAACAACUGGAAUUUUGGGAAGCUCGGUGCUUCUGGUUUUCAUCGGGCAGAGAGAAGACGAAGAGGGAGAGGAAGAGAGAAAAUAUUACUUUCACUUUUUGGAUUUAAUUCUUUUGAUUCGAACAAAAUUUGUUGAAUUGAGGUAGCAGAUCUCUUGCAAUCUACAACUCUCCAACAAAACAAUGACUGUGUAUUUCAAGUUUGUAAAUUUUCACCUUUUUUUUUAUUUUUCACCAGAUAAGUUAAUUUCUAGAUUUGUUCAAUUUGGACUGUUAGAGAGAUUUGUAAAGGGUGGAGAGAUCACGUGUUUGUACAAGUGGUGAGAUUCUUAUGUUAAAAAUUAUUAAUAACAUAAAAAAUAAAAUUUUCCACAAUUUAUAUAAUAACACGUGAUGUAUCACUUGUGUUACGAUCACAAGGAUAAAAUUUUCAAUAUAAUGGAUCUAGAGUAAAGUACAAAAAAUUACUUCAACUAUUGGUGUCACGACACUUUCAUACCUCAUCUUUUAAAAUUGAUAAUGUCAUACCUCAUCUUAUGAAUUUGUGUCCAUGUUAUACAUUCCGUUAGGUUGGCGUGCAUUUCUCAGUUAAAUGCUGACGUGACUUGAUCUUGGGGCAAUUUUCUAUUAAAAAAUUAUUAAAAACUAAAAAAAAAUAUUUAAUAUUUUUUAAAUAUUAAAAAAAAAAAAACCAAACAAACACUCAGUCAGUUCAUCCCCUCCCCCCUUCUCUCUCUUCUUCCCCCUUCCUACAACUCCAACCCAGAAAAAAGAAGAGAGAAAAAAUAAAAAACCAAUUUGUCUUCCCCCUCCCCACCCCCUCUUCUCCCCGCACCCACUCUCCACACCCAACCACCCCACCUUCGCACCCAACCUCGCACCCAUUACCUGCAACCCAAAAAAAAACAAAAAAACCCAGAAGAAAAAAAACCAUAUCCCGUUGAGGUGGAAUCGGGAAGCCUUCGCCAGGCCGAUUCCGAAGGUUGAGAACCUGGGCGCGAAGAAAAUGGGGGGAAUGGGUGUGGAGGGAAGAGGGUGGGUGCAGGGGGGACGGACGAACUGGGUUUCUUAAAACAAAAAACAAAAAAACCCAGAAAAAAAUAAUAAUAUCCCGUUGAGGUGGAAUCAGACCUGCAGCGAACACAAGGAACUGUUGUCCAGAGAUCCCGCCCAAAAGAGUUAUGGGUUUACCAAACUCUGUUUGGGUACCAAGUAUUGGAACCGGGUAAAUCUAGACCCUUCUCUGCGACUAGAUCAUAUAAUCUCCAUAGCUGUCCAAAACGGACUACUAUUGGAUCCUCUUAAGUUGCUUUCCAGCGACUAGAGACGAUAGGCGCAUUGAAGAAUUCUUCGAUCGAGACUGCCAGAUCAAUAGCCGUCGUCAAGUAUGCCUUCGCCAGGCCGAUUCCGAAGGUUGAGAACCUGGGCGCAAAGAAAAUGGGGGGAAUGGGUGUGGAGGGAAGAGGGUGGGUGCAGGGGGGACAGACGAAUUGGAUUUCUUAAAACAAAAAAACCCAGAAAAAAAAAACCAUAUCCCGUUGAGGUGGAAUCGGGAAGCCUUCGCCAGGCCGAUUCCGAAGGUUGAGAACCUGGGCGCGAAGAAAAUAGGGGGAAUGGGUGUGGAGGGAAGAGGGUGGGUGCAGGGGGGACGGACGAACUGGGUUUCUUUUCUUCUUCUUCUUCUUCCUCCUUCUUUCUAGGUUUUUUUUUGGGGAGGGGGGGGACUGGGUUGGGUUAGGUUUUUUUUGUUUUUUUUUUUCUUUUUCUUCUUCCUCCUCCUCCUUUUUUUGGGUUGCAGGGGGUUGGGUUUGUGGUGGGGGGUUUUUUUUUUUUUUUUCCUUCUUCUUCUUCUUCCUCCAUCUUCUUUCUGAGUUUGUUGUUAGGGGGGGGGGAGAACUGGGUUGCAGGAAGAUGGGGAGAGAGAGACGGGUGGGAAGGACGAACUGACUUGAGGUUUUUUUCUUUUUUUCUUUACUUUUCUUUAUUAUUUUAAUAUUUAAAUAAUAUUAAAUAAUUUGUUUUAGUUUUUAAUAAUUUUUUAUUAACUUUUUAAUAGAAAAUGGGUCUCGGAUCAAGUCACGUAAGCAUUUACCUGAGAAAUUCACGCAAACCCUAACGGAAGGUAUAACAUUGGCAUAAAUUCGUAAGAUGAGGUAUGACAUUGUCAAUUUUAAAAGAUGAGAUAUGAAAGUGUCGUGACACCAAUAAUUGAGAUAGUUUGUACUUUAUCCAUGGAUCUAUCAGCACUCUUUUCUUAUUAUGUUAGUGGAGGGACCCAUCUGCAGUGUUGAUAUUUUUUAUAGAAGAUGUAAACAGUCGGUGACCCAUAGCAUUUCCCAAGUUCCAUAUUAAUUUGACAAUAUUUAUAUUAUUCUGAUUAGAAAUUUAACAGAAUUAAUUGUUUUUUAUUUGUAACAAAUAAUUGCUUACAAAUAAUCAAUUCUAUUAAAAAUAAUUGCUUACAAUAAACAAUAACUAUAAUUAAAAUGUAUAUAUAUUAUAAUUUUUUUUAAUUUAUAUUUUUUAACGAAUUGAGAACGAAUCGAGCUAAAUAUCAUAUUGUCUAUGUGUACACACUAACGAAUAGUACUAUAGGUUACAACCGAAUUCCGUACCCGAACAGAAUUACGAACUCGCACCGUGCCACUAAUACUGCGGCUGUUGCUGGUGCUGCUUUGCUGUUUGCUGCUCCUGCAAUUGCACUUGCUUAUUGGCGACGAAGAAAAUCACAGGAUCAUUUAUUUGAUGAACCUGGUUAGUGAACUAUAAGAGUAAUAUAGCUUGAUCAAGUUGGUGUUGUAGUUGUUGAAUGGGAUGCAGGUUUCACUCAUCUACUGUCUUUGCAGCUGAGGAGGAUCAAGAAGUUCAUUUACGACAGCUCAAAAGGUUUUCUUUGCGCGAGCUACAAGUUGCGGAUACCUUUAGCAACAAAAAUAUUAUUGGUAGAGGUGGCUUUGGUAAGGUUUAUAAAGGAUGCUUAGCUUUGGCUUUUGGUAGAGGAGGAUCAAAAGUAUUAUUGGUCGAGUUGGCUUUGGCUUUGGCAAGAUUACAAUUCAACAGUCCGGUCCCAAAUGAUAUGCACAUUGGUUCCGUUCCCUGUAUACAUGUAAGAAGCCUUCAGAGGACUAGAGAAGAUCCAUUUUGUAUUUCAGUCAUACCACACUUGUGCAUAUGUUUUGUCUUUGUUUUUUAUUUUGUUUUUGUCUCAUGUAUUUUUUAGAUCACAAAAAUGGAGCUGGCGUUGUUUUAAUUUUUAUAGGGUUAACUGGCAUUACGAAGUUAUAUGGUGCUAGCAUGAAUUAGGAAGGGCCAUAAAAGUACUCGUUCCUGAUGAUUUAUGUAUCUAUCCAGAAAUUAGUUCAGAUUGUCGAGUAAAUAAUCAUUCUGAACUUAUAACUCUCUAUAUUUUUUUAGUGUUCCUAUAGAUCCUAUAGUUACGAUAAGGACACUAGGUCAAGUGCAUGGGUGUUUGUGGAUAGAUAGUGUUUGAAAUUUCAUUGUGAUCAUUGCAAGUGUGACUUUGUGGCACUACCCUUAUAGGUACUUGAACUAAGGCAUUAGGGGAUCAAGAGAUCACUUUGUGUCAUUCCAACACAAGAAUUCGAGCUUUGUCUAAUCUCUUUAAAGUAUCGCCAAUGGGGAUCCCUCUACUAUCUUUGAGGAUUUAUUUAAGACCAACUAUAGGGUAAGACCCAAACCUAAACAUUUGAGUUUAAACAAAAUAAAAAUGCAAUCUAAUUGCGGGACUUUUUUGUUUUUUUGAACAACAAAUAUUUUCUACACGAAAAGGGUGGGAGAUUAGGUUAAGCCUUACAGUGGACUAGCAAUAAUAUUGUUCAAAUUUUCUUUUGGCGAGAAUCGAACCUAAAUACCUCUCACUUAUAUGUGAAGAAGUAAUACCACUAAACCGUAGUACUAAGUGGCAUCUAAUGGUUGCACAUAAACCUAAAAAGUUUGGCUUUUGACCCAAGCUAAACCCACAUUUGGGUUUGUAUUUGGCUGACCCAAAUUUUUGGGGGCCCUACUUUUUUUGUUUUUGAAAGGUGAAAAUUGUUUAAAAAGUAAGACUACUUGUGGGUUAAACUACCGCAAACCCUCAGUUAGCAUGCAAGGUUUUAUGAAGAGUUAAUGAUCUCAUUCAGAUUCAGGAUGGAACUUCAUCUUCCUUAAUUGUACUAAAGCAUAUUAACUUACAUGACGUUAUGUGUGAAAAUUAUAAGAAAUUGCGCCAUUCAUCUAUUGUCAAUUGGUUUAAAAAGUGAAACUCAUUUUCUUUCAAAUUUUCAUAAAACUGAGGCUAAACGUAUGUGGACCUAUUGAAAAUGUUACAUUUCGAGUUUCUACUCUAAAAUUUUCACAAUUUAGUGCGAUUAAUUUUGUACUUAAUUUCCCAUUAAGGUAGGUCAUAGGCCAAUUAUGUACCAUGAUUACCUCUUAUUAUAAGAUAGAAGUGGGGAGAUUCCAAACAAUAUUUCAUCAGCCAAAGACGAAUCAUAUUGGCCUAAUAAAAGAAAGCUAGGACGCGAUUUGAAAUAAUGAAAACCGUUGUGGCAUAUAUAUUGAUGUUAAUCAAACCAAUAUAUCACGAGAUAAAGUAUAAUUCUACUUUGUUUGAUGAAUCCAUCGAAAUCCUAUUUAAUUUAAGGAGAGGGGCAGAUUACAUCGGUUUGGUUUGACAAUAAAAAAUAAACUGAAUCAAAUAGUAUUCAGUGGUUCAGUUCGAUUCAAUUUUGAUCAAUACCACUAUUCAAAUCGAACUAAACCAAAUAAAAAAUGGAGAGAUCAUAUCGGUUUGAUUUGGUUUGAUUCGGUUGGUUUAAGCCUAUUCAACACAUAAAUAAAAAAACAUUAUACAUUUUAAGAGUUUUAUUCUUCUAAACAUCACACAUCUUGCGCGUUCCAAUUGGAUUGAAAGAUUAAAUUUUUCGGAACAUAAAAGUUCAUCAAGUCAAAUAGAACCAAGUUUCAAUUAAAUAAAGUCUCAUGCUAGCAAACAAUUUAUUAGCUAUAAACCUCAUAUAAGCAUGAAAUACAUAUAAUCAGCUUAUUGUUAAUAAUCAUUACAACUUUGUAAAAUUAAACUAAUUAAUAAUUCAAAGAGACAUGGUCAGUUCGAUUUGGUUUUGAUCGAUUUUAAAAGUAUCAAAAUAGAACCAAAAAAAAAAAUAAAUUGUUUUGGUUCGAUUUUUAAAUUAUUUGUUUUUACUUGAUCACCAAACAGACCAAAUUAAUUUUGUUUGAACCAGUUGAUUUGGUCGGUUUUAAUGCUCACCCCUAUCCAAAAUGCAUGGCUACCAACACUAGAUAAAUUGUAAAUGAGAAAUGCUAAGGAGACUCUCUCAAAAGUAGGACUCUCCAUAGACUUUCUAUCACCUCAUGUUUUUUGCACAAUAUUUUAUAAUGUUGGCACGAAAUUAAUGUUAAACUAUGACGACCCGUCCUUAAUUUUAUGAUUUUAGUAAUUUUAAAAUGUGUGAGAAUUGACGAAAAUGCCCCUAGAGGCGAGGGCGUUGACUUUGUUGACGGUCUUUUUGUGACGCGUUCGAGCUACUAUUUCACCGCAUUCUCGAACUACUCGACGAUACAGACACGUAGGCACAAGCAGAAUCGAAUUCGGAGUUGCAAUGAAAAUUUUACAGAUUUACGAAGUCGAAGAGCAUUUUAAUAAUUUCAUCAUCAUCCUAAAUAUUUGGCUCUCUAUUAUUUUAAUAUUUUCCCUUGAAUUUUUGGUCCAGUGGGACUCCCCACUUCUUUUCCCCCAAAUCUCAUGCUUCCAAAUCACUCGGAACUCUCUCUCUUCCCUAUAUCUUCUUCCUCUCAUCUCUCACCUUUCUCUUCUCUCUGUAUAAAAAAAAAAAAAAAAAAAAAGGUGGAGCCGAGCAGUACAACCACCACCUCACCACCUUUCCAGUGAACUACACCUGAACCACCAUACCAUGUCCCUCUGUCUCUCUCUUGUUAUGCAUCUUUCUCCCUCAAUCUCCAUGUCGUCUCUCUCAUCUCUACAAACAACAGGACAACCGUGAGGUUAAGGUCAUCACCAUCGCCGUCUUCCAUGGCAGAUGACCAUCGAACCAAUGUUCCCAAGAUAUCAUAUCAUCUGAAACCUAGCCUAGGUUUAAUUCCAGACAUCCCAACGGGAAUAGCUCUCGAAUCUUAGAGUUCUAACACUGCGGAGACUAUUCAGCAUGGAUCUCACCACUUUCUAUGAAGGUGAGUGUCGAUUAUGCUUUGUGUGAUCUCCCCCUUGUGGUUUAAAAUGACUUUUAGGCUUAAUGAGUGAAGUUUGGAUUGGUUUCAUGACAUAAAUGGCAAGGGAGGAAGUUUUCCAGAUUUCUGGAAAAUUAGUAACCGUGGUCAUUUGACAACUUUCAGGCCAUUUUUUUGGCCAACACCGACCUUAACUCGGCCUCACCUUGGUAUGGUGUUUCUCUCUACAUUUCUAACUUCAAAAUGGCUCUUGAAUUAUUGAUUUUGGUGGGAGAAUCAAGCUCGAUAUAAGCUCUGGAAGUCGGACAAAAAACCUGCAAAAUGCAGGCCUUCGCAAGGAAGCUGAGUACAAUGGUACUUGCAGGCACGUAGGCAUGCGUGGGCUUUACAUGGGUCAUCGGCGCGUGGAGAAACCCGAGGUCCCUCUUUAGGUUUCUCGACAUGCUGGACCCGAAUCCGCCCUCAUUUUUCCCCACACUUUGUAUGAAAAUGUGUUUAUACGUUAGUACUUUACGUAUUUACAUAUAUGGUUUCGUUUCUAGGCGAAAUGCCUCGAAAGGACUCUCGAUGCUACGAGUCGGGUUCGACUCAACGACAGGAUUUGUGAGUGGGUCUUUUCUUGAUACAUACAUACAUACAUACAUACAUACAUACAUACAUACAUAUAUAUAUAUAUAUGUUUAGUUUCCAUAUAUACAUCUAAUAAUGAAUUUUCUAUAUGAAUGUCAUAGUUAAAUUAAUAUUUAUAGAAAAUGACGUAACGAAGAGAAUUAGGAAAAUCAUUAUGAAUCUUACGGGAUGCCUUAGCUAAAUUUACGGCUAUGAAUAAUAUUAUGUUGACUAGAAUUAUCAAAUCAUUAUGGCAUGGCUACAUUUAUGUUAUUUGCUCAUCGUUUGCUGCACCGGUGUUAGUACUCGCCUGGGCCAGGGCCAAUCUUUCACGUGUAUGUGCACAUCGCACUGUACGCUCACUUUGGAUCCCUUGUAGGUGUCAGUCCUAUCGUACAGGUUGCAAUAGGCAGCUUCGACUUGUAUGUGUUGCGCAUAGCGCCAGUCUUCGCAUGAUUGUAGUACUAUAGUGUAUAUCAUUGUUACACCCAGUCCUAUUCAUGUCAGAAUACCUCUGCAUGAACUCAUGUGUCAGCAUGUGUCAAUGAGNCCACUAAACCGUAGUACUAAGUGGCAUCUAAUGGUUGCACAUAAACCUAAAAAGUUGGCUUGACCCAAGCUAAACCCACAUUUGGUUUGUAUUUGGCUGACCCAAAUUUUUGGGGGCCCUACUUUUUUUGUUUUUGAAAAGCAAUGGGCAAAUUAUAUUAUAUACUAAAAGAGAAAAACGCCUGAAUCACUAUUCAUAGUACAGUGGAUUUUCGAUUUUGUCCUCGCUUAUUUGUCUAUUAUUAUAGCCUUGCCCCUAUUGCUUUGCUGUCAAAUGCUUAACAGUUUCGCGACGCGUGGAAAUUCCGGAGCCUUCUUUGUUAUUUUUCCCUCACCAUUUGGCUGUUUCCUCGCCCACCGCAUAAUUCUUCUACUGCUGCCAAUCCAUAAACCACAACGCGAAUCCGACCGCCUCUUCUUUCCCCUUCACUUUCACGGUUCCACCCCAACAUCAUCGGUAAGCUUUGAAACGUUUUUAUGGGUGUGAGUUUCUGAAUGCAUGUCUAAACUUUGAUUGGAAUUUGGUUGUUUCCUUAAUUCCCAUCAACCCUUCUCACAACUUCAUCUAAAAUGCUCUGCAUGUAAGAUCUGUGUUCGUGUAGGUCAUUUCAAAGGGAUUUCAAGCUGGGUUGCAAAGAUUUGAUUCAAGUUUGUGGAUUUGGGUAAGAAAUUAAGAACCCCUAAUCUUUUCUUAAGGUUUUAAAUGCCACAUGCAUCACAAUAAUCCAUUCAAAAUCACAAUUUUCCUCCGUGCUUCCUCCGUUAUUUCUUCACCAUCAACCUUGCGGCAACUUCCUUGCCGAUUCGAGCUGCUCGACCAUGACAUGAACGCCGCCUCCACACGUUUGACUCGCUGUACGUCCUUGGCUUGCCGCUCUCCUUAUCUCCCGGUGAUUCAUUCUCCUCAUUGGAUUCUAUUUGGGUGAGUUCUUGGUUGAUACUCGCCCCCAUGAUUUUUCAAUUUGGUUUUUUUGGGUGUCUUUAGUCGUCGUGUUGAUAAAAAUUUUCUGCGUUUUUUUGCUUUUCGUUUGUGGUUUUUUUUUAAAUUUUUUUGGGGGUUUGAUGAAUGAAUUUGUGUGGGAGUUUUUGAAGUUUUAUUAAUUAUGUUGUAUUUGGGCCCCUGGGUAAGCUUAGAAACCUUUGUAGAUGUCGCAUGCAUGUAGAUUUUUCUUCAAACAUAUGAAGAAUUGUUAGUCUGCUGUACAAUUUCCUCUGCCACCCUUGGAAAAUCAACAUGCACAGACAUUUUAGAAUUCUUCAUUUAAAUUUGCAGGGUUCAGGACAGUUUUUCUUUUAAAGUUAUGGGUUCUUUUGAUAUGAUUUUUUUUUAUUUGAAUUAUUCAUUUAAUUUUUGAGAUCUUUUAGCAAAUCUCCAAAUUGACUCAUAAUGAUUAGGCUUGAAACAGAUGCUAUAAAUCAGUUUUGGUGGAGGAGUUGUUCCGCAGCCUCAGGAAAAAUAGAGGAAUGUUUUUGAAAUAAGGUCUGAUCGAAACUUUUGUAUAAAAUUUCACAAUUUUUGAGUUUUAAGCCAUUCAAAUUCACAUUUGCCUACAUUAAUAUAUUAAGUAGGUUACUUAUUGAUUUUUUUUUGGGAUUUUCUGUUUUUCAUGGUUUCCUAAUCCUUUGUCCGACUUGAAUGUGUAGCUAAGCAUACCAGCAAAUCAAAAGGUUUUUUGAGACGGAGGGGUGCUCUGGCUAUUCCAAUAGUUUCGGUACUGCUAGCAUGUGGUAUUAAUCAUUGUGUUGCCUUUGCCAUGCUAAGCGGAUAAAAAAAGAGUAAAACAAAAGGUAUGAGAAGUAGUCAUCCCCUCUGAAUUGUUUAACGGUUUGAUCUAAAUAAAAGCAAUGCAAUUUCAUCUUAAUGAAUGUCUACAAUUGGUUCAUGUGAUAGCACAGACUAUACGGAGAGAGAUGAACUUGAAGAAGCGAGGAGACACCCCGAGUUGCAAUAUUUCGGUCUGAGCACCAUAAUAGCAGCCACAGAUAACUUCUCACCCAUUAACAAACUCGGCCAAGGGGGUUUUGGCAUUGUUUAUUAGGUGAAUCCCAAUUCAGAAGUCUUACACAUUUUACAAUUGAAUGAUUUCUUCUAAGCAUUAUACAGUAAUUUUGUUCUGUUUCUUAUGUCUACUGUUUUUUUUUUUUUUUUUUUUUUUUUUUUUUUUUUUUUUUUUAUAAAGCAUGAAAGCCUAAUAGUAAUACUGAUUCAUUACUUCAGGGCCACUUGCCAAAUGGUCAGAUUAUUGCUGUAAAAUAUGUAGAUUGCACUUGAACAAGGUUUGUUUCUCGAAUCACAUUCAUUAGUUAGAUUAUUAAUGUGCUUCGAGAGGGGUUUUCAAUAUGAUUUUGUAAUUUCCCUUGAGAACUGUUUACACGUUUCCAUAUGGGUUUUUUGAACUACAGAAAAUUUUGUCAUUCCUAAGAUUUAAUUGUUGUUAUUGUAUAGUUUAAUUAUUUUCCCCUAAUAUGAUUGAAUGGUAAUUAGUUGUAUAAAUUUGGCUUUGACCGUUCUUUCUCCUCCUUGGGUUCUAUUUCCGUCUCUGACCCCAUUGAACUUCAGUUGAGCUCAAGUAAGCAGUCCUAGCGGCCAGCCUUCUUUUAGGUCACUCAAGGAUAAUUGGGAUCAAAUAUUCGCAUUUUCAUUGUUUGAAGUAGGAAGCACCACUUUUUCCUCUAAUUUUGUUUCUUCUGAAAUUUAAUGGUUCUGAUUUGAAUCAUCUUGCAGAAGAUUGAGAAACAGAAGGUUGGAGGACUAGAUGAUCAAGCAUUGACUUAUUUUUAAAGAAAAGGUAAACCACGAAAAUCCCAAAGUGAUAUCCCACGACCUACAACUAUUUUUGUAUUUGAUUAAUUUAAUUCUUAAUAUUUUUCCGCGUUGAUUUAUGUUGAACUAUGUCUGAAAGGUGGCCUUUGUUCAGAUUGAAAUACAAAAUUAAAUCACAUUUGAUCAGUUAAAUCACAUCUAUAUUAAUGUGCAAAUUUGCAGGAUAUUGACUAUAAUAUUCACUUAGUCAGUUCUCUGUAUUAUCCUUUCUUCAACAGGGGUUGAGAACAAUAUUUAAUAUGUAGGUUGAAUUGAUUGAAUAUUUGGUUUUGUUGGUUGAAAAGUUUAAUAUCGUUUAUUUGUAUGCUCUGAUCUUUGGUUGACGCUGUUAUGUGGAAAAGACCCCUUAUAAAAGAUUAGAGAUGUAACUGGUACUUUGUCUAUAUUCCUGUAAUUUGAUUGUAUAUUGUUUUAUUUACUUUUGUAGGUUAGAGUUUUUAAUUUUUAUGGGUUUAUUGAAUGCGUAAUUCUCUAAGCAUUCGAAAAGGUAAGAUUUGGGAGAGUGAGAAUUUGUAAUUACCUUGAGAGGAAUUCUUUUUAUUGCAUCUACAAAAUAUUUAACAUCAUCUACUAACAACGCUUUGGCUUUCCAGUAAACAAAUAACAGAAGGACCUCCAUACAUUCAUGAGCAUCACUUUUAUUUAGUGGAUUACAAUGAAUUGUUAUCUCACGUAGAUAAAGUUGAAAUUCUCAUAGGUAAUUAAACACAUUUAUAAAUCUACAUCUAUAUGCCAUUUUUGUUUGCCAACAUUUUUUCAUCCUAUAAUCUUAUAAUAUUGGAUUGCCAAAUUGCAAGAUAUUGUGGGACGCAUCACAUCAGUGCAACCAGACAGUUUUGAAUCCCGCAGCAUUGCGCGGGCUUCACUGCUUGUGAUUUACUAAAGUGGCCGACAGAUGGACCCCUCAGCUGGCAGGGUACCAGUUGCAAAACGGUAACAUUUUAAGGGACUACGAGCCGUUUUAUUUUUGGGCCAUUGGUUUUUGGGCCAUUGGUGAUCAACGGUCUAGGUUAAAAUCUUUUUUUGUUUUGCAAUCUUUAGAUUUUGAUCUGAUUGUUCAUAUUUUUUUUUUCAAAUCUAAUUGUAAAAAAAAUCCAACUGCUGAAAUUUAAAUUAAAUGUCAAAAUAAUAAAAUAAUUUUUUAGAACAUAUCCACUUUACAUUUGGAUGGUGUGUGUAUUGAAGUUUGGUUGGUUGGUGUGAUUUGUUCGGUUUUGAAAAUUUUGUCGAAAUUUAAUCAUUUAAUGUCAAAAUACUCGUCAAAUUAAAUUAAAAUAAUAUAAUUCAAAAGUACAAAAAAAAUUAAAAAAAAUCCCACCAAAAAAAUUAGGGUUAAAACUAUAUUCCACAACAAUUAGCAUUUUAGGUCCUGAAAUUUAGGUCUUGGUAUUUGGGUGAUAUUCACUGUUCAUAGACUUAAAUUCCGUCUUUUUAAUGGUCUUUUAAAGGGGUGUGUAGUCAAAUUAGGAUUUGAUAGCAUUUUGAUGGAUUUUAAAAUCUAAGUGCAUUCAAUUAGGAUUUUAAAAGAUUUUGAAAUCAUAGUGUAGUCAAAUUAGGAUUUUAUAGGAUUUUAAAGAAUACAUCAAAAUCCAAGGAUAGUCGAUUAGGAUUUUAAAUGAGUCUGCAGAUGUCUAGGUGUAGUGAAAUUACCAAGGAUUUGCUAGGAUUUUGAUGAGUGAUGGAUUUUAAUGGAUUUGAGGGUUUGUGGUAUAAAUACCAAAUGUUAUCCAACCCUUACCCCUCAAAUUUCUUUUCACACCAGAGGAACAGUCUUCUCCAUUUGAGAGGACCUACUGUGAACUCAGCCGACUUGGACUUCUAUGGCUGGUCGUGAAAUCUUUGCAAGCAUGAGAAGAUGUCCCAGCACCACCAACUUAUUUUUUUCUUUCUUCACCGACUACCCAAACAUCUCACGUAAAUUCCCUUGCUGACUCUUCCUUUCCCUUCAACUACUUCCUAUCUCUGUUGUACUUUUAUUUACAGAAUACACCUUGUUCAAUUUUGCUUUGGUGCCUUUGAAAUGUCACCAUUUAUUAUUAAAACCAAUCAACGUCACUCUCGAAACACGUAUUAUUUGGCUUGGGUUGGAUCAAUUCAUCCAACCUGUAUACAUUCUAAACAUUAUUAAUUUGUGCUAUUACUACGGUAUGAAAAUAUGCAAUUAACUAGUCCUUGGAUUGAGGAUCGUGAUUUCAGACAGUGUAGUAGAAUACACAUAACAAUUAGGGUUUCAAUUGCAGAGAGUUGGAGAGGUUAAUCUCAGCCACAGAGUUUCAUUAAAAAUGAUCUGACGGCAUUGUAUGUGAUUUCUAAAUUUUUUUAAAAUCCUAGGAAAUCCAAGAAAGAAUCCAUACAAAUCCAUACAAAUCUAUAAGAGAAAUCCACAUAAAUCUGUCAAAAUCCAUAUGGAAUUGUAGAGUCCAUUAAAAUCCUUUAAAAUUUGUCACCUAAACAAAAUCCAUUAAAAUCCUCUAAAAUUCAAAUUGAUUACACCCCCUAAAUAUUUUGGUUUGGGUGUAAGGGUUGGAGUUGGUCUAAGGACUUUAAUGGAAUCUUUGAAUUCCUAUAAGUGUAUUGCCUCAUAGCGAACCGGGAUCCUCGCAGGAUCCAUUCCCUAGGGAUCCCGCAAUUCUAUCCGUUCAUCGUAUAUCAUGCGGUCAGUUUUCGUUAGGUACUAUUUACAUUCGAAUUUUAAAUUUUAAAUUUUAAAUGAUUUCUAACCGCACGAUAUACGAUAAACGAACAAGAUUGCAAGAUCACUAGGGAAUGGAUUCGACGAGGAUCUUGGUUCUACAAUAGCUUCACUAUUGGCUAUAGCUUAUGUCAUGGUUUAUAUUAUAGCUCAUGUCAUGGUUUAUUAUUUCUAAUCAAAGUUAGACUUCGACUCUUUGCAACCCUUGGUCAACUAAAUGAGUUAUUAAUUAAAAGUCGUUUGAUAAUUAUUUUGUUUUUAAUUUUUAAUUUUUAGUUUUUACUUUUCUGUUUUGAAAUUAGCCAAAAUGGUCUCUGAAAUUAGCAUAACUUCUCACUUUGAUUCCUGAAAUUUAAAAUUGCCAGAAGUGAUUCAUGAGUUUGUUAAUUAUCAAUCAUUUUGAUCAUUAUGUUAAAAAUAUCCAUUAAAUAAGGAGCAAAUAACAAAAUAACCUCAAUUUAAUAAAAAAUGGGCCAUAAUAAUUUGAUAAAAAUUGAGUGUAAUUUUGUUUUUUCAUGAAAUGAUUAAAAUAAGGGAACUUUAAUGAAAAGUUUAUAGUACUGUUCACUUUAACGAAAAAUCAUAUUUUUACAAUAAAAAGUUAAUCCUGGUACUAUUCAUUUUACCCAUUAUUUUGUCAUUAUCAUUAAAACUCAAAGUUUUCAAACCAUUUUUAUUAAUUUUUCUUUAAAACAAUUUAUAGUGGAUUAAACCAGAAAUCUCAUUUUGAGUGAGGAGUUGCAUAGCAAUUUCAGGAAUCAGCUGAAAAGUAAAAAAUAAAUAUAAACAAAAGAAGAAACGAAACUUCCGACCUGGUGGGUUGCGACUUUGGUUUGGUAUUGCUGUGCUUUGAAAAAAAACUGUUUCUGCUGUGCUGUGAGAAUAAGCAGCUGUGAAAUAAAACAGCAGAGUGUUUGGUAAAUUUUUUUGUAAAAAUGCUUUUGAAAAAAAAAACAGUAUUAUAGUGUUUAGUAAACUUUUAUGUAAAACAGAUGUGAAAAAAAAAAAACCGAUUUUUCAAAGUUGGGUUUUGCAGCUUCCUGUUUUUGGUUUUUUUCACACAAAACUGUAAAAAAAAAAUGUGAAAUUGAAUGUUUACCAAAUACAAUAAAGCUGCCAGCUUUUUUUUAUACCAUUUUUUUUCAGAAUUACCACCGUACCAAAUCAGGGCUUAAACUGACUGAGAGGUCCUCUAUCCGCAGCUCCUUCGUCUUCCUCCCAAGCCUUUUACCUUUUCUUUCUUUCUUCUCCAAAACUAGCAAUCUGAGAUUUCAACCUCUCUCUCCAAGGAGCAGCGGCAUGCUUUUCCAAACGUAAUCUGCAAUUUAAUCAAACAGCCACCAAAUUUUCUGGAAUCCGGUCAAUGCAGAGAUUCUUCGGAUUUUGAUCGGUCAACGCCAGCUGCUUACCUGAGCUCUAACAGACACAACAGUGAUAACGUCCUCCACCUCUGUCUCUGUUUGGCUGAUUCUGCUGUUUCGCUUCUUUCACCUCCACAAGCUUGCUGCCAAUGUCGAAGGUAUGUCUCUGUGUGUUAUUGAAAUUGGGAGUGUUUGGUUGUGGGAACUGGAAUGAACUAAUGAAUGAAUGACUGGAAACAUUCCCGAAGAGCUUGGGGGUUUGUCAGACUUGGUGAGCUUGGAUCUUUACUUGGCAACCUUGCAAAACUGCGUUUCCUGUAUGAACCCCCAUCCUUCUGUUAGAUAAAAUCUAUCGUCUUUCUUUUUUAUUCGAUAUGCUAAUUUGCUUUUAUUAAUUGUUCCAUUGGAGUGACUUUCUUCCUUAAAGUCCUUGUGCCGGAUGCAUAUAAUUUAUAGUAUGAUCCCUGGUUUCAAGAUUCACAAGAAGGGAACAUCCAAUCAUUGCAAGUCCUGUGAGUUUCAUACACUUUCAUCUCAGUGUAAGAGGGAGGAGAGAGAGAGACAGAAGUUACUAAUUUCUCCGCCAUCAGGUAUUGUUUGGUAUGUAGACGAGAACGGAACGGGACAGGAUGGGACGGAAUGGAGAGAGAGAGCAAAGAUGCUCUCGGAUGGAAACAAGGAGGAAGAAGAAUGAGACGGAGAAAUUAUAAUUUUGUGUUCCACGGAUUUGGAACGAGUCAUUCCAGGGAAAAAGGGGAAACAAAAAUUCAUCUAAAAUUCGUUCCGUGAAACAAUACGUUUCACCCGUUUUAGGUGAACCAAACAUGAGACGGAACGUCUCAUUUCACUCUGUUCCGUCACGUUUCACGUACCAAUCGGUACCCCAGAGAAUGCAAAUAACAUAUAGUUUUGCCAUGGAAUGCAGGGAUCUUUCAAAUAACAAUCUGACAGGGGAUAUUUGUGGUGCCCUUUUCGUGCCCUCCUGUUUUUGUGGUUACGGUUAAGCCACGUCAACAUUUUAUAUUACUAUUUCUUUUUGUUUUAUUAUUUUUAUAAAAAAAUAAUAUAAAAUAUUAACGUAGCUUAACCGUGACCACACAAAACAGGAGGGCACUAUUUGUGGUGCCCUUCCCGUGCCCUCCUGUUUUUGUGGUUACGGUUAAGCCACGUCAACAUUUUAUAUUACUAUUUCUUUUUGUUUUAUUAUUUUUAUAAAAAAAUAAUAUAAAAUAUUAACGUAGCUUAACCGUGACUACACAAAACAGUAUGACACGGAAAAGGUACCGAAAUAGGAGGGCAGACAAUCCAAGUCCUCCGGUCAAUGGAUCUUUUUAACUUUUUACUCCCAUGAGGUUUGUUGAAGCAACUUUACUCUUUUUCUUUACCUUUUUCCUGCGGUGACUGUCCCAGCGGACGAUCUAAAUGAUGUACUGAUUGCUAUUCUUCAUUUUGCAGUUUUGCCAAUAAUCCUCGUCUGAAUCCACUUCCAGCCUCACCACAUCCAGGUUUUUACAACUUGUACUGUUCUAAUGUUCUUGUGAUAUUAGCGCAAAAUUAUUUUGAGAAUUGGCUCUGUUUUGUUUCACAGACACUUGUGAUAUCGAUCCAGUCCAGUAAUGGUUAAUGUUUUAUUUUUGGUGUUUUUCUGUUAAAACUUUUCAUAAUGGUUAAUGUUUUAUUUUUGGUGUUUUUCUGUUAAAACUUUUCAUAAUAUACCAUUACUGUUGGAAUCACUGCUGUAAAGAAUCUAAGAAGAUGCUAGUUAGGAAAGGAAUGGAUUGAGGAUCCGAGAGGAUACUCCUAAUUAUGUGUUGUACUAUUUCUGUGAGUUUGAAGAAAUGAAUAAAAGAAUAAUGUUAGCGAGACCAAAAAUUUUAAACGGUUGUUGAUGAUUGAAUUAUUAAUUAAGUGUCGAUUAUUGUGUUUAUUUCUUAUUGGUGACACAUUAUUUGGUUUGGCGAUUCAGUGGUGAUUAUAAUCAUCUACAAUAAUUAAUACGCACUGAUAAUUUUUGGGAACAGAGGAGUGAAAAAACUGGAAUUUUGGGAAGCUCGGUGCUUCUGGUUUUCAUCGAGCAGAGGGAAGACGAAGAGGGAGAGAGAGAGAGAAAAUACUAAGUUUAAGGAAAUGGUUGAGAGACCAAAGUUUUAAAUCAAAUUUACGAACCAAAUGAUGUAUCAUCAUUAAGAAACAAGCAUGUAUACUUAAUUAAUAAUUCAAUCAUCUACAACCACAUCAUUUGGUUUAAUAUUUUUGAUCUCCCUAGCAUUAUCAGUAGUUUAAUUGUAAUUUUUUUUUUAUGGAGGCACCGAUCAACAGUGUUGAUUUUUUAGAGAAGAUGUAAAGAGUCGGAGGCCCAUAGAAUUUCCCAAGUUCAAAUAUUUAUAUUUUUUUGUCAAACGAUAGAUUUUAUUAGAUUAUAUGUUAGGUUAGUCAUCGACGGAGUUUGAACCUACGCCGUCAUGCAAUGACGCAACACAUUUCCACCACUGUGGUAAAUGGUCACUUGUAUUUGAGAAUAUUUAUAUUAUUCUAAUUUGAAAGUUAAGUGAAUUAAUUAUUUUUUAUUUGUAAACAAAUAUUUGCUUGCAAGUAAUCAAUUCUAUUAAACAAAAAUAAUUGCUUACAAUACAAUAAACAAUAACUAUAAAUAUUAUUGUAAAAUGUAUAUUAUAAAUAUUUUUAAUGUAUAUUUUUUUACGAAUUGAACUGAAUAUGAUAAUGUCUGUGUAUUCUCUAACAUAAUGUUACUAUAGGUUACUAUCGAAUUCCGUAUCCUAACCGAAUUGCGAACUCGAAUCGUAACAUGUAUCUGGAAACUAUGGGUGGCACUGGUACUGGGGCUAUUUUUGGAGGGGUUGCCGUUGGUGUUGCUUUGCUGUUUGGUGCACUUGCAAUUGCAUUUGCUUAUUGUCGACGAAGAAAACCACAGGAUCAUUUCUUUAAUGAACCUGGUUAGUGAACUAUUAAGAUUAAUAUAGCUUGAUCAAGUUGGUGUUGUAGUUGUUGCAUGGGAUGCAGGUUUCACUCAUCUACUGUCUUUGCAGCUGAGGAGGAUCCAGAAGUUCAUUUACGACAGCUCAAAAGGUUUUCUUUACGCGAGCUACAAGUUGCGACGGAUACCUUUAGCGACAAAAAUAUUCUUGGUAGAGGUGGAUUUGGUAAGGUUUAUAAAGGAUGCUUAGCUGAUGGAACUCUGGUUGCUGUAAAAAGACUAAAAGAGAAGAGAACCCAAGGCGGGGAGCUACAGUUCCAAACGGAAGUUAAAAUGAUUAGCAUGGCUGUCCACCGCAAUCUGCUUCGUCUGCAUGGUUUUUGCAUGACACCAACAGAAAGGCUGCUUGUAUAUCCUUAUAUGGCUAAUGGAAGUGUGGCAUCACGUUUAAU